rnacentral:lncRNA from 1 species
CCUCCUCUUCAACGUUCAGCGUUCAAUCGUCCCGAAAUUGGAGAUGUGGGAAACUCUCUUGGGAUCGAGAGAGCUCGUUCUCAAGCAUCUCAAGAAGACAACGCGGUUUUUCCACUCCAGCGUUGAGAAGACAUUGCAUCCUAACCUAAAGUUCUUGAGGGAUGAGUGCGGCAUUCCUGAAGAAAGGGUCUCUGUCGUCUUGAGAACUCACCCAAAAUUAAUCUCACAGAAACCAGAGUCUCUCCGAGCUUUGGUGGCGAGAGCCGAUGAGCUGGGGAUGCCACGGCAAUCUCGGAUGUUCGUGCGGACACUUGAUGCUCUCCACAACGUAAGCCAAGAAAGGUUCGAGGCCAAGGUCGAGCUCAUGAGGAGCUUCGGGUGGUCGGAGUCGGAGUUUUCUUCUGCAGUCAGGAAAGCACCCACCUUCUUAUGCAUCUCCCUCGNNNNNNNNNNNNNNNNNNNNAGAGGAGGAUGAGAAGGGCUUAGCUGAUGGUCUAACUCACAUUUGAAUUUCUCAACAGGAGAUGAGCAGUGAUUCGGCACCUUUUUCCUUGACAACGAGCUGUCUUACAUCAACCACCAGCCUUGGCUACUGAGGUGCAGUCCAGUGAAAGAAUUAUUCCUUGGUGUCAUAUGGUAGUAAUGUUGUAAUUGGAAGGUCUAUGCAGUGGCCAACACAAAAUGUCUUCCAGUUUUACUCAUUAAGGUUCAUGGAAAAGUCUGUUCUUUUUUGCAAAUCUGAAGUCCCUGGCCUGUUUGAAAUCUCUGAUCGAUGAAGGUAGAUUAUUCCCCUAGUUUGAGAUUUUGGAAAUAGAAUGCAAAUGGCUUCUCUAAAAGUCUAUUCAGGUGUGAGAUUCUUCUUAUGCGACAAGCUAGUUUAGCAUUGAUUAUAAACCAACUUUGUUUUGUCUUAUUAAAUGUUUGCUCGAAUCAUUUUCUGAUUGUGUUUGGCACACUAUUGUCGGAUUGUAUGUGAACUGCAGGUUUUAGAAUUUCUGAUUUUCUUGUCAGUUGAUCGUCUAUGCAAACUAGUUCUUGUGCUAAUUGGAAGAUUCCAUUUAUGUUUCUGUUAUGUAUUGUGAUAUUUGCUCGAAUCAUUUUAUUUCUUAUUUCAAGUCUUUAUGUUGUCGAUGUGGUCCAUGUUUCCCGCAUCAUGAACCGCGUGGCCCAUUGACUAGUCAAUCUCGGAAGGACUGUAAAUUCUCUUUGUUUUUUUGGGUCUUGUAAUGAUAGAUCAGUCUAGCUCAGUAUCUAAUCCACUUUAAUCUUUAUUGAAAUUUCUCCGUUUUCGGUAAAAAAAAAACAAAAACUCUAACAUGCAAACUAACAUGAAAGAUCAGAAGGUUUAAAAGCGGCAAUUAAAUGUGUAUUGCAAGAUUCUGUAAUUGGCUUUAGUUGUUGUUGUAGAGUUUAUGAUCAUUUACAUCACUAGUAUUUCUGAUUUUUAUGCACACUAUUUUGACCCGUUCUCAACUAGUAUUUUUCUGGCUAUCGAUGUCUUUGUGCAUGUAUUCGGUAUCUCAUUUCAGAUAGGGUCAUAAGAUCAUCACUCAUCUUUAUCAAUGCGCGAAAUGUGUUUUGGAUUUUGAUAUUUGUUGUUCCAUCUUUAUUCUUUAUGUCUUGGAUAAUAACAUCCCAAAUCGUUAUGUCAAUACAAGUUUCAAUUUUGAUCAGACAAACAUUAAUGAAAUGAAUUUAUGUAAUGAAAUGAAUUUAUGGAAGGAACUGAGAAAAGUAGAAUUCAUAAAUUUAAAUAAGACAAGUAAUCAAAGCAAAAUUAUUCACUUAUAUCAUGUUAAUGAACCACUGCAACGUGAACAUACAACAACAUGAGCAUUUUCAAACAAAAGAUAGGAUAUUUAUGGAUAAACACGAAGUUGGCAUGUAUAGAUUCCGGAUUGAAAUGUGACAUGCUAUAAUUAACAGGUGUUAUGUUACAUAUAUACUAUAUUGGUGUACAGUGAAUUUUAAUUAAAUAUUAUAUAAUUCAUGAUCAACUUCAAUCGAGCUUUUUUUUCUUUUUACAAGUCAUAAAUACUAUUCAAGGCAUAUUAAUUUAAACAAAAGAAAUCAAGUUUUGAAGGAUCAUAUGAUUGGUUUUUUUUUCCAAAUCUGGUGCAACAAUAAUUUUUUUUGGAUCAAAUAAAUGAUUAAUUUUAUAUCUUUAUAAAGAUACAAAAUCAUAUAAAUAUUUUGUAGAUCACUUAAUCCAUAACUUUGAUAUAAAUAAUUUAUUACAGUAAUUUGUAUUCCUAUGAAUAGUGAAGGACAAUCGUUAGAAUUAUGAUACUCUUAUGGAUGCUCUCCUUUAUCUAGUCACAAUGCUCGGCUCCUACUUUCACCGUGAUAACCUCUUGUCAUUUCAAAACUUAUCGCGAGGUCUCCUCUUCUUUUAUUUUAUCAUCGAUUGAUUAAGAUUAUGUUUAGAUUAAAUUAGUUAACAAGAAAAUGAUGAUUGAGUUUUGCCUAACCGUAGGUGUUAUAUCGUACUUGACCAUAUUAAUUGAGUUAUGUUGAAUCAUGAGUUGGAUUAUACUUAACUACAUGAACUAAGUUAUACUUAGUCAUAUGAGUUAGGUUGUACUUAACUACAUAGAUUGAUUUGAUCAAUCAACUUACAUUAAAUUAUUAAUUUAACUCAUCUUAUUAAAUUAUAUCAUAAUAUUUUUAAAAAUAAUUUAAAAUAAUAAUUAACCUUAAAUCUAUUCUUUUUCAAUAAUUAACUAAUUUAGAUUCAUAAAUUUAAAUUUAAAACUAAUUAAAUUAUACAAAUUCAUACAUAAUUUUUUAAAACAUAAAUAUAUCUAAUUAAAUAAAUUAUAAUUAUUAUUCAAUUAAGUAAUUAUUUUAACAUCAUAAUUCCAUAAUCAUUAUUUAUUAAUCAUAAUAUUUUAAAAUUAAAAUAUUAAUUUGCAUCAUAUUAAUUAAAAAUUCUACUAUUUUAUAUUUUAAAAUAUAAAUAAAAAUGAUAAUAAAGAAAAUAAAGAAUCAUACUCGUCCUUGCAAUCCUGUCAUCAAAAUUUUUUUUUUCUUAAUCCUCCAUCCAACUUCUAAGCUUGAGGGAGGAAUUAACGUGGAGUAGAAGACGAACUUUUCUCGAUAGAUAAAUAAUAUUUUUGUUUUACUUUCAUACAAAACUGGAUUGUAAUAUUAAUUUUACAUUGUUCACGUACAAAAAUAAAAUUUAAAAUAUUUGCUUUCUAAGAAUCAUAUCACACAUUAGAAAAUAAAUCAAUUAAUAAUUUAAUAAAUCGAUAAAAUUCUUAAUUUAUUCAUAUAAAAAAAUAACUUUAAUUAGUUUAAAGUAUAUUAAAUAAAUAAAUUAAAUAUAAUAAAUAUAUGAUUUAUAAUAAUUAAUUUAUGUUAAGAAAAAAAAUCUAUGAUUACAAAAAUCUUGAAGUUUCAGAACACCUAACAUCUAUAAAAGGGAAGAGUUGAGCUGAAGUGGUUACUGGAAAAAAUGGUUACUGGUUCAAGUAAAAGACAUCUGUAAUUAAGUAAUUUAACUUUUAAUCCACAACGCCAAGCUGAAUCACUACAUAAUAAGAGUCGCCAGAAAUUCACAGUUAUUAAAACAAUUUGCUAUAAAAAAAUAAAAAUCAGACACGAAGUAACUUCAGCUUAUUAAAAAGAAAAAUGAAAAAUGAGAAGUAGAGAGGUCAUCUUUUCCCCUCGAAAUCAACUCCAUACGUGGCAGGGAACUCCAAGAUAUCCUUGUCUAAAUAUCAUCGAUAAAUAUCACACACACACAUAUAUAUAUAUAUAUAAUUAUAAUAUUAUAAUUUAUUUAUACAUCAAAAUAAAAGUUAAAAAUAAUCAUAGGUUUUAUUCAUAAACAUAAUAAUAUAAACUCAAAAAUAAACAUUCAACUUUUGGUCUGUUUUUUAUUAAAAUCUAGUCUAAGGUUGCUUUGAAAAAAAGAAACCGAAAAUUUUUUAACAAUAUUAAGUUGUAACACCUUAUAACAUAAAUACAUAUCAAAAAGUCAAUUAUCCAAUUGAUCGUAUAUUAAAUUCCCGAAUGAAUACUCUCCGAAUAGUAAAUGGAGAGACUUCAUUUUAUUAGAUGAUUUUAUGUUCUUCGGAUAUGAACGAACCCAUAUCGCACUCUUAAUAAUUGAUGAAGUGAUAUUCCUCACUUAUCAAAGUGAGGAUAUAUUCUUCACAAUAACAAGUAGAUAGAGGAACCAUCAUAUCUCACAUCCCACUAAUUUUGAAAGAAAUCACUCUACCUGCCCUCGUUAAGGCAACAAAAUCAUCAUAUACCAAUCAUUUUCCAUAUCGAGAUAAAAUAAUAUAUUAAAAUAUUUUAAUUUAUCUUUUUAAAUAUUAUUAAUAUAAAAAAUAAUAUCAAUUAGUCAUUAAUUGAUUUGAACUCUAGUUCAAUUGAUCUAAUUGGAUUAGAUUUAAUUCUUAUUUAAUUAAACUUAAUAUAAUUUAGAUUAGAUUUAAUUUAAUUUACGUUAAAUAGAUUUAAAUAAUUUAAAUCAGUUCAGAGUCACCUUCAAUCGAUUUAAAUUUAUCAAUCGAACACAAAUGAAAUAAGGUAAAAUAAUAAGUUAGAUUGUAUAGAAAUAGAAUAGGUUAAGUUAGUUGAUGUACUAAUCAUGUACAUUGUAUAUGACAAUGUAUAUAUCAUAUCAGGCUAUGUAGCCUAUGAACUAAUCAUGUACAUUAUAUAUGAUUCUCCUUGGACCAGAUUAAGUGACUAACCAAGCUUAACCUAUUCUUUGGGUCUAAUCUACGGGUUGUAGUUUAGCUUGUGAGUAGAGCCUAAUUUUCUAAGUAGAUUUUAACCUAAAUCAUAAUUAAUUUUUUAAUUUUAAAUUAUAGCAUCAUGAAAUUAUAAUCAAAACAUCAAACUAUUACAAUUGAGUCAUUAAAAUAUAAUAAAUAGCAAUAGAUUAAAAAUACAAAAUUACAUUAAAGGGAAAAUAAUAUUUUUACUCAACUAUUAUACAAAUCUAAUAUAAAUUGAAUAUUACAACUAGUAUGUUGCAAGAUAAAAAUUUUAAAAUUAUUGUAGUAUGAAUAAUUAUAAUAUAUUAAAUCCAAAAAUAAAAUUUUAAAUAUUUGGAUGAAUAUAAUAAAAUUUUAGAAACUAUAUAUAGCAUGAAUAAUAAAUAAUAAUAAUUUUUUUAAAAAAAUAUAGACGCGCCUACCUCUCUUAUUCUGAUUUGACGUAGUGAAAAACUAAGAAAAGGAAUUGCCCCAAUUAAAUAAAAAGAGUCGAGCCUUCCAAGGUAAUAAAUAUUUUAAUUUUUUUAAUAUUUAUUUAAUUAAUUAAUAAAAAAUAAUAUCACUUAACUUAAAAUAUUGAAUAUUUAUUUUAUAAUUUUUAUUCAUAAGAUAAGAAAGUAAAUAAUUGUACUUUAACUGAAAGAUUUAAGGACAGAUGAAACCUGUCAAAUUAGUAUUUUAAGAUCAUUUUAUCCAUAUUUUUUAUAUAAAUAAUUUAUUCCUAUAAUUUUGUAUUUAGUGUGCAUAGCGAAGGUUAUACACACUACGUAGAAGGAGGGUGGUUGUAAUUAGGGCGCCGCUGCGGCUGCUCUCUUGUCCCACAAUGGCUGCUGCGACGCUCCGCUCCGUUCUCCGCCGCAAUGGCCUUCUGCCCUUGUUCGAAACCUGCCGCCUUCGAGAUCUCUUCUUCCUCUCCUCCUCUGUCGACCCUGCCGCCGCUGUAGGCGUCACCAUUUCUCCAGAUCCCAACUUCAUGGUGGAAUACCUCGUGAACUCCUGUGGGUUCUCCCCCUCCGAGGCAGCCAAGUUCUCUAAACCCCUUGCGCGCCUCCGAUCCACCGAGAAACCCGACGCCGUCGUUCACUUCAUGAGAUCUCAGGGCUUCGAUGGCGCCGGUAUCAGAAAGGUGAUAUCUCGAAAUCCCACUCACCUAUGCGUGAAGGUGGAGAAGAACUUGGCCCCGAAGUUUCAGUUCUUACGCGAUUUGGGCUUAUCGGAGUCGGAUAUCGCCGAUGCCAUCCUGAAGAACGAUUUCAUCCUGCGCCUCGACGUUCACCGUUCCUUGGUCCCCAAAUUGGAGAUGUGGGAAAGUCUCUUGGGAUCGAGAGAGCUCGUUCUCAAGCAUCUCAAGAAGACAAGACGGUUUUUCUUCUCCAGCGUUGAGAAGACAUUGCAUCCUAACCUAAAGUUCUUGAGGGAUGAGUGCGGCAUUCCUGAAGAAAGGGUCUCUGUCGUCUUGAGAAGUCACCCACAAUUAAUCUCACAGAAACCAGAGUCUCUCCAAGCUUUGGUGGCGAGAGCCGAUGAGCUGGGGAUGCCACGGCAAUCUCGGAUGUUCGUGCGGACACUUGAUGCUCUCCACAACGUAAGCCAAGAAAGGUUCGAGGCCAAGGUCGAGCUCAUGAGGAGCUUCGGGUGGUCGGAGUCGGAGUUUUCUUCUGCAGUCAGGAAAGCACCCACCUUCUUAUGCAUGUCCCUCGAUAUGUUGCGCAGAAAAGUGGAAUUUUUUAUCAAUGUAGUCGGGUACACCCGUUCCUUCAUCGCCGACAAAUCAUAUCUCUUGCUAUUUUGUCUGCAGAAGAGGGUAAUUCCUCGGUUUCGUGUCACAGAGAUGUUGAAAUCGAAAGGAUUGUUGACUGGACAAGCCAAGUUUCCAUACAUUCUCCAAUUAUCAGAUACCAAAUUCUUGGAGAAGUUUGUUCUCCCUCACGAAGAAAAUGUUCCUGAGCUGCUCGAUAUUUUGAGAGUUGAGGGCGUGUGUAAAGGAAAAUGAUACCUUUCAUUUGGUAUCGGAGGCUGGGAAAGGGCUUAGCUGAUGGUCUAAUUUGCCAACGACGAAGGUAGAUUAUUCCCUAAUUUGAGAUUUUGGAAAUAGAAUGCAAAGGGCUUAUCAAAAGGUGUACUGAGGUGUGGGAUUUUUCUUUAAUGGCAAGCUAGAUUAGCAUUGAUUAUAAAUCAAAUUUGUUCCGUCUUACUAAUUGUUAGCUUAACUUAUUUUCCGAUUGUCUUUGGCACAGUAUUGUUGGUUUGUAUGUAAACUGCAUGUUUUAAAAAUUCUACCUAACAGUCCAAUUGAGAUGACCUUCGGAUCUAUCGUAGGGACUUUUGGCUUUUGUCCAAAUUAAUUUCAAUUCCGGAUGGGAUUUUGGUUUGUUGGGUAAGUCUCAAAGAGUCCUAUUUUAGAUCAACUUAUGCAGUAAGUAUAUACAAAAUAUCACCGAAGAUCACAGGAAGUUGCUGAGUAGUAGUUGCUCUAACGAUUUAAGUGGCUGAAAAAAUCAUAGAACAGUAAAGAGUUGUUUCUGUAAUUUGUUUUGAAAUGAGUCGUCACCAGAUUUAUGGAUUUGGAUAUGUCUAAGAAGGCUUCUUUGCAUACUUAUUUAUUUGUGUGCUAAUUGGAAAUUGAAAUUUGAUUUAUGCAUUGUAAUAUUAGUAUGCAGUGGCUUCAAUGGAGUUUGAAAGAGCAGUUGCAUUGGGUUGAUCAGGAGUCACCAGCAUUAGUAUUAACUUUGCUUCAAGGUUGUAUGGACUUUUCUCUGAGCAUCAAAACAUGGGUGUCUUCAGCCUCAUUUGGAAUUGCAAAAGCUUUUCCUGCAUCAACAAAUUCUGACUUGCCUCCGGGGGCUUCAGCUCAUCCACCCUUUGUGAUUUGGUUAGCAGAUCUCUUCAUUCUUGGAGUCUGUGGUCUAUGUAUGUUUCCCUCGUCAUGAAUGGCUUGGCCCAAUGGAAAGUCAAUUUAGGCAGAAUUAUAAAUUCCCUAUUUUUCUGGUCUUCUAAUUAUGGAUCACAUUUUGGGAGAAAGGUAUGCACAAUGCACAUUCCAUUGUGCAUAUCUUUAUUAUCACAUUUCAAAUAGGAUCAUAAGAAUAUCAAUCAUCUUUAUUGAGAUGUGUUCUGAAUUUUGACAUCAGUUGUUCCAUCUCUACAGAGAAUCUGUGCAUGAGUUGUAGAAGUGAUAGAACUUCCAAGUUCAUCAAGAUUAUUGGGAAGAUAUGCAAAAAUUCUUUUUUCUUUAUUUCUUGAAUAAUAACGUCCCAAAUCUUUGAUGUGUGGAGAGUAACUACAAGGAGCAUCUCCAGAUAUAUACUCUUACAAACUCACAACUUCUUUGCAUACAAAUCUUCACUUGACAAACCACCCAUAAGAGAAUUCCCAAUAGAGACUAGAGUUAUAUCGGAGUCACAUUCAAUCAAUUUUGGAUUGGUAGUCACAUAUCUCACCUUGGAGUCAUUGCUCGGUUCCUUGGUUCUUUCCAACUUUGUAACUAGUUGUCUAACUUGGUUCUUGAGGAUUUUAACUGUCAUGUCAAUCAACAAAAAUAAAAAAUAAUGGCAGUGCUCAUCUCCAGCCACAAAUUCUAAAAUCCAUGCUAGUGAAUAAAGCAAAUGUAACUUCUGGCAACAUUACUUUCCCUUCUUUUCUCUCUCUUUAUCUUUCCCUGCCACUGCCUUCCCCUCACCAUCACCUUUGCAGCUAUCCGCCAAAAGCUCUAAACCUGGAUGCCUUUAAUGACAUGGAGCAAUUAGAAAUGUGGAAGAACGAGAAAAACAACAAUGUCUUCCAAAAACUAAAAGAAAACUGACAGUGAAUAAGGAGAAGUGCAAAGACUCAGUAUUGCUAGGUUGCUCUCAAACUGAGAAACCAUCAGUAUUGCUAUGUUGCGCAGAAAAGUGGAAUUUUUUAUCAAUGUGGUCGGUUACACCCCUUCCUUCAUCGCCAACAAAUCAUAUCUCUUGCUAUUUUGUCUGCAGAAGAGGGUAAUUCCUCGGUUUCGUGUCACAGAGAUGUUGAAAUCGAAAGGAUUGUUGACUGGACAAGCCAAGUUUACAUACAUUCUCCAAUUAUCAGAUACCAAAUUCUUGGAGAAGUUUGUUCUCCCUCACGAAGAAAAUGUUCCUGAGCUGCUCGAUAUUUUGAGAGUUGAGGGCGUGUGUAAAGGAAAAUGAUACCCUUCAUUUGGUAUCGGAGGCUGGGAAAGGGCUUAGCUGAUGGUCUAAUUUGCCAACGACGAAGGUAGAUUAUUCCCUAAUUUGAGAUUUUGGAAAUAGAAUGCAAAGGGCUUAUCAAAAGGUGUAUUGAGGUGUGGGAUUUUUCUUUAAUGGCAAGCUAGAUUAGCAUUGAUUAGAAAUCAAAUUUGUUCUGUCUUACUGAUUGUUAGCUUAAAUUAUUUUCUGAAUGUCUUUGGCAUAGUAUUGUUGGUUUGUCUGUAAACUGCAUGUUUUAGAAAUUCUACAUGACAGUCCAACUGAGAUGACCUUUGGAUCUAUCGCAGGGACUUUUGGAUUUUGUCCAAAUUAAUUCCAAUUCCGGAUUGGUUUUUGUUUGGGUAUGUCUUGAAGAGUCAUAUUUCAGAUCAAGUUAUGCAGGAUAUAGAAAUUAUCACCAAAGAUCACAAGAAAUUGUUGAGUGGUAGUUACUCUAAUGAUUUAAGUGGCGAAAAAAACUUAAAACACCAAAGAGUUGUUUCUGUAAUUUGUUUUUAAAUGAGUCAUCACCCAAUUUAUGGAUUUGGAUAUAUCUAAGAAGGUGUUAUCUCUUGUCAGUAGAGGCUUCUUUGCAAAUUUAUUUAUUUAUGUACUAAUUGGAAUAUUUAAAUUUGAUUUUUGCAUUGUAAUAUUAGUAUGCAGUGGCUUCAAUGGAAUUUGAAAGACCAGUUGCACUGGGUUGAUCAGGAGUCACCAGCUCUUCUGAAAUGUCUUCAACCUGCUUUGGAAUUGCUAAAGCUUUUCUCGCAUCAACAAACUCUUGCAUGCCUCCAUAGGCUUCUGCUCGUCCACUCUUUGUGAUUCCAGGUGCAGAUCUCUUCAUUCUUGGAUUUGGUGGAUGCAACUUCUCAUCAUCAUAGCUGAAGCUUCUGCUCCACUUGAAAGCCUUAAGAAGGCUGCACAACUAAAUUUCUCCAACAUCUUUAUUGAGCUAAUUCCCUUGGAGUUAGUCGAUUGGCUGGUUCCUUAAGAAUAUUUUGGAUGUCAUUUUAUUUCUUAUUUCAAGUCUUUAUGUUGCCGAUGUGGUCCAUGUUUCCCGCAUCAUGAACCACGUGGCCCAUUGGCUAGUCAAUCUCAGGAAGGGCUGUAAAUUCUCUUUUUUUUUUUUGGGUCAUAGAUCAGUCUAUCUCAGUAUCUAAUCCACUUUAAUCUUUAUUGAAAUGUAUCCUUUUACGGUAAAAAAAAAAAAAAAAACAUGCAAACUAACAUGUAAGAUCAGAAGGUUUAAAAGUGACGAUUAAAUGUGUAUUGCAAGAUCCUGUAAUUGGCUUUAGUUCUUGUUGUAGAGUUUAUGAUCAUUUACAUCACUAGUAUUUCAGAUUUAUGCACACUAUCUUGACCCGUAUCUCAACCAGUUUUUUUCAGGCUAUCCGUGCCUUUUUGCAUGUAUUCAGUAUCUCAUUUCUGAUAGGAUCAUUAGAUCAUCACUCAUCUCUAUCAAUGGGUGAAUUGUGUUUUGAAUUUUGAUAUCAGUUGUUCCAUCUUUAUUCUUUAUUCUUUAUGUCUUGGAUAAUAAUUUCUCAAAUCUUUAUGUCAUCACAAGUCUCAAUUUUGGUCACACAGACAUUAAUGAAAUGAAUAUAUGGAAGGAACUGAGAAAAGUAGAAUUCAUAAAUUUAAAUAAGACGAGGAAUCAAAGCAAAAUUAUGCAUUUAUUUAUCAUGUUAAUGAACCGAUGCAACGUGAACAUACAACGACAUACGCAUUUUCAAACAAGGAUAGGGUAUUUAUGGAUGAUCACGAAGUUGGAAUGUAUAGAUUGAUGUCUUCAGAUUGAAAUGUGGCUUGCUAUAAUUAACAAGUGUUAUUUUACAGAUAUAGUAUAUUGAUGUAUAGUCAAUUUUAAUUAAAUAUCAUAUUAUCCAUCAUCAACUUCAAUCAAGCUUUUUUUUUUCUUUUUUAAAUUUUUACGAGUAAUAAAUACUAUUUAAAGCAUAUUAAUUUAAACACAAGAAAUCAAGUUUUGAAUUAUCAUAAGAUUGUUUUUUUUUUUAAUUCUGGUGCAACAAUAAAUUAUUUUUGGAUCAAAUAAAUGAAUAAUUUUAUAUCUUUAUAAAGUUACAAAAUCAUAUAAAUAUUUUAUAGAUCAUUUUAUCCAUAAUUUUGAUAUAAAUAAUUUAUUACAAUAAUUUUUAUUCCUCAUGCAUAGCGAAUAACAACAGUUGAAAUUAUGAUGCCCUUGUGGAUGCUCUCCUUUAUCCUUAAUAAUCAUAACGUUUGGCUUCUCUUUUAAUCAAGAUAAUCUCUUAUCAUUAUUUAAAGUUUAUUCGAUGUCUCCUUUUUUUUUCUUUUUUUUUAUUUUAUCGUCAAUCGAUUAAGAUCAUGUUUAGAUCAAAUUUGUUAACAGAAAAAUGACGAUUGAGUUUUCUAACUGUAUGUGUUGUAUCGUAUCUGACCAUAUGAAUUGAGUUAUAUUGAAUCGUAUGAAUUCGAUUAUACUUAACCACAUUGACUGGGUUCACAUGAGUUAGGUUGUACUUGACUACAUAGGUUGGUUUGAUUAGUCAACUUACAUUGAAUCCUCAAUUUAACUCAUCUUAUUAAAUUAUAUUUUAAAUUUUUAAAAAUAUAUUAAAAUAAUAAUUAACCUUAAAUCCAUUCUAUUUCAUGAAUUAACUAAUUUAGAUUCAUAAUUUUAAAUUUAAAAGUAAUUAAAUUAUACAAAUACAUACAUAAUUUUUUAGACAUAAAUAUGUCUAAUUUAAAUAAAUUAGAGUCAUUAUUAAAUUAACUAAUUAUUUUAAAAUCAUAAUUCAAUAAUAAUUAUUUAUUAAUCAUAAUAUUUUAAAAUUAGAAGAUUAUUUUGCAUCGUAUAUAUANNNNNNNNNNNNNNNNNNNNNNNNNNNNNNNNNNNNNNNNNNNNNNNNNNNNNNNNNNNNNNNNNNNNNNNNNNNNNNNNNNNNNNNNNNNNNNNNNNNNNNNNNNNNNNNNNNNNNNNNNNNNNNNNNNNNNNNNNNNNNNNNNNNNNNNNNNNNNNNNNNNNNNNNNNNNNNNNNNNNNNNNNNNNNNNNNNNNNNNNNNNNNNNNNNNNNNNNNNNNNNNNNNNNNNNNNNNNNNNNNNNNNNNNNNNNNNNNNNNNNNNNNNNNNNNNNNNNNNNNNNNNNNNNNNNNNNNNNNNNNNNNNNNNNNNNNNNNNNNNNNNNNNNNNNNNNNNNNNNNNNNNNNNNNNNNNNNNNNNNNNNNNNNNNNNNNNNNNNNNNNNNNNNNNNNNNNNNNNNNNNNNNNNNNNNNNNNNNNNNNNNNNNNNNNNNNNNNNNNNNNNNNNNNNNNNNNNNNNNNNNNNNNNNNNNNNNNNNNNNNNNNNNNNNNNNNNNNNNNNNNNNNNNNNNNNNNNNNNNNNNNNNNNNNNNNNNNNNNNNNNNNNNNNNNNNNNNNNNNNNNNNNNNNNNNNNNNNNNNNNNNNNNNNNNNNNNNNNNNNNNNNNNNNNNNNNNNNNNNNNNNNNNNNNNNNNNNNNNNNNNNNNNNNNNNNNNNNNNNNNNNNNNNNNNNNNNNNNNNNNNNNNNNNNNNNNNNNNNNNNNNNNNNNNNNNNNUAUAUAUAUAUAUAUAUAUAUAUAUAUAUAUAUAUAUAUAUAUAUAUAUAUAUAUAUAUAUAUAUAUAUAUAGUUUUACGAUCUUAACUUAGAGUUAAAUCAUGACCACAUAAUAUAAAUCAUAUAAAUUGAGUCAUAUAUAAUCAAAUUAUACUUGAUCAUAUAAGUUAAAUUAUAUUUGAUUAUAUGAAUUAAGUCAUAUCUAACUUUAUAAGUUUGGUUAUAUUUAGUCACUUAUGUUAAGUCAUACCUAAUCACAUGAAUUUGAUCAUGUCUAAUCACACGGGCUAAAUCAUGCUUGAUCACAUGUAACGUAUUAUGCUUAGUCAUACUAGCUGAGUUAUACCUGAUCAUAUGUGCUAAGUCAUAACUAUUAAAUGAGUUAGACAAUGCUUGACCACAUUUGAUGAGUUAUGUUUAAACAUAUAAGUUAGAUCAUACCUAGUCAGAUAGAUUGAGUAAUGUUAUAUUAUAUUUGAUUAUAUGGAUUGUGUUAUGUUGAAUCACAUCAGUUCAAUCAUACUUGGCCAUGUAGAUCGAGUGAUACUUAGUCAUGCGAGUUAGAUUGUACUUCACUACAUAGGCUAGUUUGGUCAAUCAACUUAACUAAGAUUAAAUAUCAAAUUUGACUCAUACUUGUUAAAUUAGAUUUUAACAUUUUAAAAAAAUACUUUAAAAUAUUAUAAAAAUAAUAAGUAAUCAUAAAUCUAUUAUUUUUCAUGAAUUAACUAAUUUAGAUUUAUGUUCCAAAUUUAAAAGUAAUUAAAUCUAAAAAUUCAUACUUAAUUGUUUAAAACAUAAAUACACUUUCGAUGAUCAUUAUUUAUUAAUAAUAAAAUUUUAAAUUUAAAAUAAUAAUUUUUAAUAUAUAAAUUAAAAUAAUUCUAAUAUUAAAUAAUUUUAAAAUAUAAAUAAAAAUUAAUAAUAAAAAAAUAUACUCUCCUCGUGAUCAUUUCCUCUAAGAGAGCUAGGAAUUGAGGAACGAUGAGCUUGAGCUCUCCAUAAAAGAUAAAUAAUAAUUUUAAUAAUUUUCUUAAUCAUAUUAUAUAAAUAAAAAAACUAAUUUAAAUAAAGUAAUAUAUGAUUUAAAGUAAUUAAUCGAUGUUAGAAAAUUAUCGAUGAUUACAAAAGUCAUGACUUUAUUAGAUGAUCUGCAUGAUUAUUAAAUUAAUAAAUUAUCUGUAGUCAAUCAAGCUCACCUAAUAAUUACAAGAUCUUUUGAACGUUGAUAGUUACAAUUUGUUCACUAUGUAAUCAAACAGAGAAGACAAAAUCCAGAAUAAGCUACAAGUUCCUGAAGUUUCAGAACACCUAACAUCUAUAAAAGGGAAGAGUUGAGAUGAAGCAUUAUGAAAACGAUGUAAAAGUAUAACAUGAAAAUGCAUCAAGGAAAAAAAAUAAUAUAAUUCAUCAAGAAAAAUUCAGAUCAUAAAGGGCGUUCUUUCACAUGCGGCAAACAAAAAGGUUCAAUUGUGGUUUUAAAAACAUAAUUGCCAUGCAAAAAGAAAAAUUAAUGGUUCAAGUAAAACAUAUCUAAUUUAACUUUUAACCCACGAUAGCAAACCGAAUCACUACACAGUAGGUAGGAAUAAUUAGAAACCUAUAAUUUUUGAAAUGUGUUACUUAAAAAAUCAGAAUAACUCCAGUCACCUUUUUCCACAUAAACCAUCUUUUCCCCGUAAACAAAAAAUUUAUUUCCAAUAUAUCUUUUCGUGACUAAGAAUAACAUAAGUAAACUUCUGUCAUAUAUCGGUAACAAUGACAUACUUCCCAUCUGCAUGAGACCAAAGGUCAAGAACAAAAACCUAAGAAACCAAAUAAUUAUUUCUUUAAAAAAUCAAUUUAAUAAGUUCAUCAUAUUAGUUUGACGGAUGGAUCUAAUAUGUGGGUUAUAUUAUAGAUUGAGUCUGUACACAUUGAUUUCAAUUCAAAUCAUAAUUAUUUUUUUUAAUUUUAAAUUAUACUAUCAUUAAAUUAUAAUGAAAAUAUCUGAGUGUCUUAUUAAAACAUAAUAUUAACUUAAAAUAUUGAAUAUCUAUUUUAUAAAUUUUAUUCAUAAGAAAAAAGUUAAAUAAUUAAACUUAAACUGAAAGAUUUGAUUACAAAUGAAACGGUCAAAAUAGUAUCUUGUAGAUCACUUUAUCUAUUUUUUGAUAUAAAUAAUUUAUCCUUUAAUUUUGUAUUUCUUGUGCUUAGCGAAGGGUUAUACACACUGCAGAUAAAAGCGGGUUGUUUGUCUUAGGGUGCCGCUGCGACUGCUCUCUUUCGUCCCACAAUGGCGGCUGCGACGCUCCGCACGGUACUCCGCCGCAAUAGCCUUCUGCCCUUGUUCGAAACCUGCCGCCUUCGAGAUCUCUUCUUCUUCUCCUCCUCUGUCGACCUUGCCGCCGCUGUAGGCGUCACCACAUCUCCUGAUCCCCACUUCAUGGUGGAAUACCUCGUGAACUCCUGCGGGUUCUCCCCCUCCGAGGCAGCCAAGUUCUCUAAACCCCUUGCGCACCUCCGAUCCACCGAGAAACCCGACGCCGUCCUUAACUUCAUGAGAUCUCAGGGCUUCGACGGCGCCGGUAUCAGAAAGUUGAUAUCUUUGAAACCAAAUUACCUAUGCGCGAACGUGGAGAAGAAGUUGGCCCCGAAGUUUCAGUUCUUACGCGAUUUGGGCCUAUCGGAGUCGGACAUCGUCGAUGCCAUCCUGAAGAACCAUGGCAUCCUCCUCUUCAACGUUCAGCGUUCCAUCGUCCCCAAAUUGGAGAUGUGGGAAAGUCUCUUGGGAUCGAGAGAGCUUGUUCUCAACCAUCUCAAGAAGACAGGAUGGUUUUUCUCCUCCAGCGUUGAGAAGACGUUGCAUCCUAACCUAAAGUUCUUGAGGGAUGAGUGCGGCAUUCCUGAAGAAAGGGUCUCCGUCGUCUUGAGAAGUCACCCACAAUUAAUCUCACGGAAACCAGAGUCUCUCCGAGCUUUGGUGGCGAGAGCCGAUGAGCUGGGGAUGCCACGGCUAUCUCGGAUGUUCGUGCGGACACUUGAUGCUCUCCUCAUGGUAAGCAAAGAAAGGUUCGAGGCCAAGGUCGAGCUCAUGAGGAGCUUCGGGUGGUCGGAGUCGGAGUUUUCUUCUGCAGUCAGGAAAGCACCCACCUUCUUAUGCAUCUCCCUCGAUAUGAUGCGCAGAAAAAUGGAAUUUUUUAUCAAUGUAGUCGGGUACACCCCUUCCUUCAUCGCCUCCCAACCAACUAUCUUGCUAUAUAGUCUGCAGAAGAGGGUCAUUCCUCGGUUUCAUGUGACGGAGAUGUUGAAAUCGAAAGGAUUGUGGACUGGACAAUGCAAGUUUGUAUGUAUUCUCAUAAUGUCAGAUACCAAAUUCAUGGAGAAGUUUGUUCUCCCUCACAAAGAAAAUGUCCCUGAGCUGCUUGAUAUUAUGAGAGUUGCUGGCGCGUGUAAAAGAAAUGAUACCUUUCAUUUGGCAUCGGAGGAUGAGAAAGGGCUUAACUGAUUGUCUGAUUUGUGACGACGAAGGUAUAUUAUUCCCCUAAUUUGAGAUUUUGGAAAUUUUAUGCAAAGAACUUAUCUAAAGGUGUAUUGAGGUGUGGGAUAUUUCUUUUAUGACAAGCUAGAUUUGCAUUGAUUAUAAAUCAAAUUUGUUCUGUCUUACUGAUUAUUAGCUUAAAUUCUUUUCUGAUUGUCUUUGGCGUAGUAUUGUUGGUUUGUAUGUAAACUGCAUGUUUUAAAAAUUCUACAUAACAGUCCAACUGAGAUGACCUUUGGAUCUAUGGAAGGGACUUUUGGCUUUUGUCCAAAUUAAUUCCUAUUCCAGAUUGAAGAGUCAUAUUUCAGAUCAAGUUAUGCAGCAAGUAUAAACAAAAUAUCACCAAAGAUCACAGGAAGUUGCUGAGCAGUAGUUGCUCUAACGAUUGAAGUGGCUGAAAAACACUUAAACUUUUUUGCAAACUUAUUUAUUUAUGUACUAAUUGGAAUAUUCAAAUUUGAUUGAUGCAUUGUAAUAUUAGUAUGCAGUGGCUUCAAUGGAAUUUGAAAGACCAGUUGCACUGGGUUGAUCAGGAGUCACCAGCUCUUCUGAAAUGUCUUCAACCGCCUUUGGAAUUGCUAAAGCUUUUCUCGCAUCAACAAACUCUUGCAUGCCUCCAUAGGCUUCUGCUCGUCCACUCUUUGUGAUUCCAGGUGCAGAUCUCUUCAUUCUUGGAGUUCAUUCUUGGAUUUGGUGGAUGCAACUUGUCAUCAUCAUAGCUGAAGCUUCUGCUCCACUUGAAAGCCUUCAGAAGGCUGCACAACUAAAUUUCUCCAACAUCUGAAUCGAACUAAUUCACUUGAGUUAGUCGAUUCGCUGGUUCCUUCUUUUAUUUCUUUGUUCAAGUCUUUAUGUUGUCGAUGUGGUCCAUGUUUCCCGCAUCAUGAAAGGCGUGGUCCAUUGGCUAGUCAAUCUUGGAUAGACUGUAAAUUCUCUAUGUUUUUUUGGGUCUUGUAAUGAUAGAUCAGUCUAGCUCAGUAUCUAAUCCAGUUUAAUCUUUAAUGAAAUUUCUCCUUUUUCGGUUAAAAAAAAAAAAACUCUAACAUGCUAACUAACAUGUAAGCUCAGUAGGUUUAAAAGUGACAAUUAAAUGUGUAUUGCAAGAUUCUGUAAUUGGCUUUAGUUGUUGUUGUAGAGUUUAUGAUCAUUUACAUCACUAGUAUUUCAGAUUUAUGUACACUAUCUUGACCCGUUCUCAACCAGUAUUCUUCUGGCUAUCCAUGUCUUUGUGCAUGUAUUCGGUAUCUCAUUUCAGAUAGGGUCAUAAGAUCAUCACUCAUCUUUUUCAAUGCCCGAAAUGUGUUUUGGAUUUUGAUAUCAGUUGUUCUAUCUUUAUUAUCCGUCCCAAAUCUUUAUGUCAACUCAAGUCUCAAUUUUGGGUAGAAAGACAUCAAUGAAAUGAAUAUAUGGAAGGAACUGAGAAAAGUAGAAUUCAUAAAUUUAAAUAAGAUAAUUAGUCAAAGCAAAAUUAUGCACUUAUAUAUCAUGUUAAUGAACCAAUGCAACGUGAACAUACAACAACAUGCGCAUUUUCAAACAAGGAUAGAGUAUUUAAUAGAUGAUUAAUGGAUGAUCACGAAGUUGGCAUGUAUAGAUUAGAUUGAUGUCUUCAGAUUGAAAUGUGGCCUGCUAUAAUUAACAAGUGUCUUGUUACAGAUAUAGUAUAUUGUUGUACAGUCAAUUUUAAUUAAAUAUCAUAUAAUCCAUGAUAACUUCAAUCGAGCAAUUUUUUUUUAAAUUUUUACGAGUCAUAAGUACUAUUCAAGACAUAUUAAUUUAAACACAAGAAAUCAAGUUUUGAAGGAUCAUAAGAUUGUUUUUUUUUUUCAAAUCUGGUGUAGCAAUAAAUUAUUUUUGGAUCAAAUAAAUGAAUAAUUUUAUAUUUUUUAAAGAUAUAAAAUCAUAUAAAUAUUUUGUAGAUUACUUUAUCCAUAAUUUUGAUAUAAAUAAUUUAUUUCUAUAAUUUUAAUCUCUCCUGCAUAGCGAAUGAUAGUUGUUGAAAUUAUAAUGCUCUUGUGACUCUCCUUUAUUCUAAAAUGAUUAUUGUAAAGCUUGUUUUCAUCCUUAAUCAUGAUGACUUCCUAUCCCUAUUUGAAACCUAUGGCUUUCGAGGUUUUUUUUUUUUUACUUCAUCACUGAUUGCAUGUUCUAUCAAAUUAGCUGAAAAGAUAAGGACGAUUGAGGAUGAACUCAACGUUUAAUAAGAAGAAGUGAACUGCAUUAUGGAACUACGACUCAAAUGCGUCUCAUGUCCUGUUGUGUACAAGCAAAAGGAUGACCUCCACAAACUGAUGGGUGAAUCCAACAAACGAUCGAGAUGGAAGCACCUCUGCCGAGCACAUUCCACGCCUGGGAGCAUCCCCAUCAUCAUCAGACAAUAGUACAUAUGUUGACCUAUGUACGAGUAUACAACAUGAAAAGGGAAGCACUUAGUUAGCUUUCAACUCUUCUUCUUCCUCCUUUGAGAACUAACGGGGGAUGUCGAGUGAGCUAAUGGGGGAUGCAGGAGGCCACAUAAAGAAGAGCAGGUAAGGAGAUAGAGGAAAAAUGAUUCUGGAGGCCUUAGUAGUCAAGGACAUGGCACUAUCAUUGUCUCUAUCAUCCUCUCUUCCCCCACGUAUAAUUUAGCCCUGCUUUGGCUCAAUGCAUUAUGCAAUGACAAACCAACAAAGUGAGUUUUCAUAGGUACAUUUUGAUAUCGGCAUUUUGAUAUCCGUGAACAUGCAUUGGUACAUACAUUAAUAUCUAAAACCUUUAAUCAUAAAAUGUUUUGAUUUGAGUACUUGAAACUCAAAGAAUUUCAUGAAACAACAAUCUCAUAAAUUAAAUCACUAGAAAGAUUAAUUUAUACGACUACUAUGUAUCUGUUCUUCAUACUCUGCUACCAUACAACUUUAACGUAUGGAGAGUCACAAUAACGAACAUCUGCAUAUAUAGUUUUAUGAUCUUAACUUAGAGUUAAAUCAUAACCACAUAAAAUAGGUCAUAUAAAUCGAGUCAUAUAUAAUCAAUCAAAUAGAUUGAAUUAUACUUGAUUUAGAAAUUAAAUUAUAUUUGAUUAUAUGAGUUAAAUCAUAUCUAACUAUAUAUAGUUACAUUUGUUAAGUCAUACUUAAUCACAUUAAUUGAAUUAGAUGAUGUCUAAUUAUGGGCUAAAUUAUGUUUGAUCACAUAUAAUUGAUUAUGCUUGGUCAUACUAACUGAGUUAUACUUAAUCAUAUGUGCUAAGCCAUAACUGCCAAAUAAGUUAGACAAUCCUUGAUCACAUAGGAUGAGUUAUGUUUAACCAAAUAAGUUAGAUCAUACUUGAUCACAUAGAUUGAGUUAUGUCUAACUACAUAAAUUAUAUUAUAUUUGAUUACAUGGAUUGUGUUAUUUUGAACCACACAAAACGUACUUGCCUACAUAGAUUGAGUAAUACUUAAUCACGUCAAUUAGAUUAUACUUAACCACAUAGACUGGUUUGAUCAAUCAACUUAACUAAGGUUAAAUCUCGACUCAUACUUGUUAAAUUAGAUUUUAAUAUUUUUAAAAAUAUUUUAAAAUAUUAUAAAAUAAUAAUUAAUCAUAAAUCUAUUAAUUUUCAUAAAUUAACUAAUUUAGAUUUAUGUUCCAAAUUUAAAAGUAAUUAAAUCAUAAAAAUUCAUACUUAAUUAAUUAAAACAUAAAUAUACUUUCAAUAAUCAUUAUUUAUUAAUCAUAAAAUUUUAAAAUAAAAUUAUUAUUUUUAUAACAUAUAAAUUAAAAAUAAUUCUAAUAUUAAAUAUUUUAAAAAUAUAAAUGAAAAAAAUCUACUCUCCUCAUGAUCAUUUCCUCUGAGAACCUUUCCCCCUCGGAGCUAGGAACAACGAGGAAAGAUGAGCUUGAGCUCUCCAUAAACGAUAAAUAAUAAUUUUAAUAUUUUUUAAUCAUAUUAUAUAAAUAAAAUACUAAUUUAAAUAAAGUAAUACAUGAUUUAAAGUAAUUAAUUGAUGUUAGAAAAUUAUGGAUGAUUACAAAAGUCACGACUUUAUUGGAUGAUCUGCAUGAUUAUUAAACUAAUAAAUUAUCUGUAGUCAAUCAAGCUCACCUAACAAUUACAAGAUCUUUUGAAUGUUGAUUCUUGCAAUUUGUUAACUAUGUAAUCAAACAGAGAAGACGAAAUCCAGAAUAAGCUACAAGUUCCUGAAGUCUCAGAACACCUAACAUCCAUAAAAGGGAAGAGUUCAGCUGAAGCAUUGUGAAAACGAUGGAAAAAUAUAAUAUGAAAAUGCACCAAGGAAAAAGAAAACAUAAUCCAUCAAGACAAAUUUACGGCUUUCACAUGCAUGCAUGGCAAACAAAAAGGUCCAAUUAUGAUCUUAAAAACAUAAUUUUCAUGCAAAAAGAAAAAUUAAUGGUUCAAGUAAGACAUAUCUUAAUAAGAGUAAUUUAACUUUUAACCCACGAUACGAAGCCGAAUCACUACAUAGUAAUAAAAAACUCACAGUUAUUGGAAUGUGUUACUUAAAAACUGGGAGUAACUAUAGUAACAAUUUCCCCAUAAACCAAAAAUUUAUUUCUACUAUAUCUUUCCUUGACUAAGAAUAACAUCGAUCGGUAAUAAUGACAUAAUUCCCAUCUGCAGUAGAGCAAAGGCCAAGAACAAAAACCUGAGAAACCAAAUAAUUCUUUCUUAAAAAAAUUAAUUUCAUAAGUUCAUAUCAAGUUGUCAACCAAUAAAAUUAUCAAACGUAGUAUCAUUGUUGGAUCUGCGGGAUAUGGUAUAGCUUGUGGGUUGAGUCGGACAAACUAAUUGAUUACAAUUUAAAUUAUAAUUACUUUUUAAAUUUUAAAUUAUACUUUCAUGAAAUUAUAAUAAAAAUAUCUAACAAUUACCAUUGUGUUAUUAAAACAUAAUAUUAACUUAAAAUGUUGAAUAUCUAUUUUAUAAAUUUUAUUCAUAAGAAAAAUUUAUCCAUAUUUUUUAUAUAAAUAAUUUAUUCCUAUAAUUUUGUAUUUCUUGUGCUUAGCGACGGGUUAUACAGACUACAGAUAAAAGCGGGUUGUUUGUAUUAGGGUCCCGCUGCGGCUGCUCUCUUUCGUCCCACAAUGGCGACUGCGACGCUCCGCUCCGUGCUCCGCCGCAAUGGCCUCCUUCCCUUGUUCGAAACCCACCGCCUUCGAGAUCUCCUCUUCUUCUCCUCCUCUGUCGACCCUGCGGCCGCCGUAGGCGGCACCAUAUCUCCAGAUCCCCACUUCAUGGUGAAAUACCUCGUGAGCUCCUGCGGGUUCUCCCCCACCGAGGCAGCCAAGGUCUCUAAACCCCUUGCGCACCUCCGAGCCACUGAGAAACCCGACGCCGUCCUUAACUUCUUGAGAUCUCAGGGCUUCGACGGCGCCGGUAUCAGGAAGGUGAUAUCUGCGGAUCCCAGAUACUUAUGCUACAACGUGGAGAAGAACCUCGCCUCGAAGUUUCAGUUCUUACGCGAUUUGGGCCUAUCGGAGUCGGACAUCGUCGAUGUCAUCUGGAAUAACCAUGAGAUCCUCUGCCGCAACGUUCACCGUUCCCUUGUCCCCAAAUUGGAGAUGUGGGAAAGUCUCUUGGGAUCGAGAGAGCUUGUUCUCAAGCGUCUCAAGAAGACAGGAUGGUUUUUCUUCCCCAGCGUUGAGAAGACAUUGCAUCCUAACCUAAAGUUCUUGAGGGAUGAGUGCGGCAUUCCUGAAGAAAGGGUCUCUGUCGUCUUGAGAAGUCACCCAAAAUUAAUCUCACAGAAACCAGAGUCUCUCCGAGCUUUGGUGGCGAGAGCCGAUGAGCUGGGGAUGCCACGGCAAUCUCGGAUGUUCAUGUGGACACUUGAUGUUUUCCACAACGUAAGCAAAGAAAGGUUCGAGGCCAAGGUCGAGCUCAUGAGGAGCUUCGGGUGGUCCGAGUCGGAGUUUUCUUCUGCAGUCAUGAAAGCACCCACCUUCUUAUGCAUCUCCCUCGAUAUGUUGCGCAGAAAAGUGGAAUUUUUUAUCAAUGUAGUCGGUUUCACCCCUUCCUUCAUCGCCGACAAACCAAAUCUCUUGCUAUAUAGUCUGCAGAAGAGGGUAAUUCCUCGGUUUCGUGUCACAGAGAUGUUGAAAUCGAAGGGAUUGUGGACUGGACAAGGCAAGUUUACAUGCAUUCUCACAUUAUCAGAUACCAAAUUCACUGAGAAGUUUGUUCUCCCUCACAAAGAAAAUGUUCCUGAGCUGCUUGAUAUUUUGAGAGUUGCGGGCGUGUGUAAAGGAAAAUGAUACCUUUCAUUUGGUAUCGGAGGAUGAGAAAGGGCUUAGCCGAUGGUCUGAUUUGCCAACAACGAAGGUAGAUUAUUCCCCUAAUUUGAGAUUUUGGAAAUAGAAUGCAAAGGGCUUAUCAAAAGGUGUAUUGAGGUGUGGGAUUUUUCUUUAAUGGCAAGCUAGAUUAGCAUUGAUUAGAAACCAAAUUUGUUCUGUCUUACUGAUUGUUAGCUUAAAUUAUUUUCUGAUUGUCUUUGGCAUAGUAUUGUUGCUUUGUCUGUAAACUGCAUGUUUUAAAAAUUCUACUUAACAGUCCAACUGAGAUGACCUUCGGAUCUAUCGGAGGGGCUUUUGGCUUUUGUCCAAAUUAAUUCAAAUUCCGGAUGGGAUUUUGGUUGUUGGGUAAGUCUCAAAGAAUCAUAGUUUAGAUCAAGUUAUGCAGUAAUUAUAUACAAAAUAUCACCAAAGAUCACAGGAAGUUGCUGAGUGGUAGUUGGUCUAACUAUUUAAGUGACUGAAAAAAUCAUAGAACAGUAAAGAGUUGUUUCUGUAAUUUGUUUUGAAAUGAGUCAGUCACCCGAUUUAUGGAUUUGGAUAUGUCUAAGAAGGCUUCUUUGCAUACUUAUUUAUUUGUGUGCUAAUUGGAUAUUGAAAUUUGAUUUAUGCAUUGUAAUAUUAGUAUGCAGUGGCUUCAAUGGAGUUUGAAAGAGCAGUUGCAUUGGGUUGAUCAGGAGUCACCAGCUUUAGCACUAAUUUUGUUUCAAGGUUGUAUAGACUUUUCUCUGAGCAUCAAAACUUGAGUAUGCUAUUCUGAAAUGUCUUCUGCCUCAUUUGGAAUUGCUAAAGCUUUUCCUGCAUCAACAAAUUCUGACUUGCCUCCGGGGGCUUCAGCUCAUCCACCCUUUGUGAUUUGGUUAGCUGAUCUCUUCAUUCUUGGAGUCUGUGGUGUGGAGAGUAACUACAAGGAGCAUCCUCCAGAUACAUACUCUUACAAUCUCACAACUUCCUUGCAUAUAAAUCUUCACUUGACAAACCACCCAUAAGAGAAUUCCCAACAGAGACUAGAGUUAUAUCAGAGUCACAUUCAAUCAAUUUUGGAUUGGUAUUCACUUAUCUCACCUUGGAGUCAUUGCUCAGUUACUUGGUUCUUUCCGACAUUGUAACUAGUUGUCUAACUGGGUCAAAAAAAUAUUUGACCAUGUGCAUCAAACAUUUUUCUCAUCAGACCAUUUUUAUUGUAGAUUGACUUUUCACAAUGAGAACCCCCUUUGUACAUUGUUGUUACCUCAUUAGAUCAAGGGUUCAUCAUAAUCAACAAAAUUAUUUCCAUGGAAUGUCAAUCUUCACAUAUAUGCUGCAUCACAAUUAUCCUACGUGAAAUUUUAGGAAUAUAUACUUUGGAAGUCAUCUACAGAUUGUUCACAAUCAGAUAUAAAACUGCUGCCAUGCCACAAGACUUCAGUGAUCACUUUACCAAUUUGGAUAGUUGUUCUACCCCAUUUGGGUCUCACAGUAAUGCAACGAACACUCACCAUCCCACAACAUUUGCGAUCAAUGGUGUUGUCCUAAAACGUUCCAUCAAGAGAAGAUACAUAAUCACAAUGCUUAUGCUUACAGCAUUAUCCGUAGCUACAGUCUACAGUGAUUUCUCCAUCAUAACAACAAUAAGUUAAUGUGCUGAAUAAAUUGACAAUAACUACUACUCUUACUUCCACCAUGAUCGUUGCAAUGUAUUGAGGAUUUUAACUGUCAUGUCAAUCAACAAAAAAUACAAAUAAUGGCAGUGCAACAUACCAUCGCUAUAUCUAGUACUGCAUAUCUCAUUAGAGAGAAUCCCCAUCUCAAUCAACUCUUGUAUUCAGUCAUAUGCCAAUGUAGUGCUCAUCUCCAGCCACAAAUUCUAAAAAUCAUGCUAGUGAAUAAAGCAAAUGUAAGUUCUGGCAACAUUACAUUCCCUUCUCUUUCUCUUUUGUCUUUCCCUGCCACUACCUUCCCCUCACCAUGACCUUUGCAGCUAUCCGCCAAAAGCUCUAAACCUGGAUGCCUUUAAUGACAUGGAGCAAUUAGAAAUGUGGAAGAAAGAGAAAAACAACCAUGUCUUCCAUGCAGACUCAGUAUUACUAGGUUGCUCUCAAAUUGAGAAACCAUCAGGAUAUUGGAGAAUCUAAUGUCAACUUUCUCCUUAAAUUCCCUCUUUUCCUCAAAUAGGUUUCCAAAAUCAGAACUUUACUGUAGACAUCAUCAAUUGCAUACAAGUCCAUGCUACAAUUACUAGCAAAGAAAUAGUAUACUUUCUAUGUGCAGCUAAGAUCCAACACAAGUCUAUUCUUGUCAAUCAUAUUGACAAGAUGUUUAAGUCGCUCAGGAUUCAUUUUCCCAUCGCUGAAAAUAUACUGCAAGAGAGUAACAAGUAUUGGUGGUUUAGGCCCAACAAAUGGGAAUAAAUCAGUACACAAUUUUCAACAGACAAAGUGCCUGCAUAACUACAGCUGAAUUCUGAAGAUUUUGGACGAUCAGGAAAUUGAGGUUGUCCCCCAACUUUGCCACCUAUAUUUUCGGCUCCUAAUUAUUUUUAUAUAUUUAUAAAAGUGAGAAAGUAGCUCUUGGUAUCGGAAUUCAACAUAUAUAAGCAUUUAAUAGAACUAGUAAUCAAAAUAUGAUGUAAUCAACAAAAGACAUAAAAUCAAUAAGAAAUUUCUAUUGUAUAUUUUGUAUAUAAAUAAAGCAUUAUCUAAAAAUAAACUUUUCAGUUCUUUUUACUAUUUAUACUGUGUAUAUAUGCCAAGCGAAAGAAUAAAAGACAUUCUACACUAAGGAGGUAUGUUCAUGUCCAAAUGCACAAGGGGAUUCUUGACAAGAGCCGUAUCCCUUCUGGUAUGUUGAAUUGAUAGCUAUAAAUAAGUCAUUAAACUAUCAAUGUGUUACAUAAAAAAGGAUGAAUCAAUAGAGUUCUCUUAACAUUCUUUCUUUUUUCCUCGAUAAUCAUCUUUUGAUCUGGGAGUUGGUUUAGGCUUAUGAAUGUGAUUGGAUUGCGAACAUUCUACAUGCAAGUAAAUAAAUACAUACCGACGUAACAAUCACAUGACUUGCCCCUUCUUCAAGAUAAUUCAUGGCAUUAGAUCCCACCUCCAACUUGCAUACCACCUACAGUUACAAUUCAACAAAGCAAGAAAACAUUAAAGUAGAAACUUGAAUUCGAAAAAAAGAAGAACUACAAAGAGAAAGGAAAAGACAUGACUUGAAUGAUAAUGCGUCAAAUCUUUAUGUCGACCUACAUAAGUCUCCAAUUUGGUAAGAUGGACAUUGAUGAAAUGAACGUAGAAGGAACUGAGAAAAGCAAAAUUCAUAAAUUUGAAGAAGACAAGUUAUUAAAGUAAAAUUAUGCACUUAUACCAUGUUAAUGAACCGUGACAAUGUGAACAUACAACAAAAUGCACAUUUACACACGAAGGAUAAGAUACCUAUGGAUGAUCACGAAGUUACCAGGGUAAGCACGAAGGGCCUCGAAGGCCGCAGAUUGGCUUGCGGCGUCGGCGCCAAGCAUUAUGACAUGGCCACCCUUGAGCCCGUCCUUCUUGUACAGAUUCGCAAACUCUGCCGGCAACUUCUCCGACUCGAAGUUGGUCACCAUGUCCGACGCGCCGCCGUCUGUCGAAUCACGAAGCGUGGAUCCCACGAUUUGUUUCACUUUAUCCUACCACUUUGGAUCUCGUUCUACUCAGCGGUGCCAAGAGAACCCGAGGAGAAAGCAAGAGAAGAAUGCGCAGUACCUUGUGGAUGUCGAUGCAGGGGCGGAACCGGACGGUACAGCUGAUCGAGCGAGGCUUGCUGUGCUUCCUCCCCAUCCUCCAAUGGCUCGCGGGGUGGGAAGAAGACAACGGGUUGCGAAGAGGGAUCGGGGUCGAAGGAGACGACCGGAGACUAGGGAGCGUUCGAGUAGUCAGUGGCAUCCCUUCGGGUGGAGCUGCGAUGAGGAGAGAGGAGGUGGUGGCGGACGCGGGCGACGUAGCGGCGUAAGUGCGGGGGUUGGCGCGGCGAUACCAGCGAUUCCACGAACAAUGUGAUCAAGUGGAAGAGAUCAUAUGCACGGGGAUACACUUUUGAUCAAGACCGUUCAUUUCUAGAAUAACGGUCGGAUGCUCAUCCUCAACUCGGUCCCGCGUGGUGUUUACUGUGCAUGUAUGAUCCACUUCCGUGGCGCUUUGAGACGCGUGCACGGUAUAGAUUGAUGCCUCCAAUUUGUGUCCUGAAAUGUGUUGUGCUUCAAUUAACAAUAUAUUAAUGCACAGUCAAAUUUAACUAUAACAUAUGUUAAGCAUUAUCAACUUUAAUCAAGAAUUUUUACUACAUUUCUACAUGUCAUAAAUAUUAAUUAAGGUAUAUUAAUUCAGACAAAAAAAUCAACACAAAAUUUUUUUUUUCGCUUUGGCAAUUAAUAAUUUUAUAUUUUAAAGUGUGAGUGAUUAGGAUGAUUUAUAAAAAAAACCUAUAAUUUUAAGAUUUUUUUAAUAGCACUUCAUUUUUACCUUAUAACAUAGAAAAUUUUUAUAUAUAGGCUUGGCUCAAUUUUCAGGCAUAACUGGUACAUUCCAAAAUAACUAUGACUCUGACAUCUUUACCCUUGGCCAUGAACCUCCUUUGAAUUUUGGAUCGGCUUAACUCUUUUUAUUUUCUAAGUAUUUCGAUAUAAUUAUCAUUUCAUUAUAUAAUGAUAAUUAAUAUUAUAUUAAUGGAGUAACAAUGUAUCUCCACUUAUUUCAAACUAUUAUAUGUUAGUCCUGGCUUUUUUUUCUUAUCAAUGAUCAUAAUAUGUAAUGAUCCUUUUAUUUUAUUUUAUUUUAUGCGAGAGUCAAGAACCAAUAUUACUAGACAUAAGAUAGAGUAGGGCAAUUGAUGAGAUGAAGAUACCAAGAAGCAUAUAAGCAUAUAAAAAGUGAUAAUAAGUUGUGAUUGUUGAAUCUCGGAUUUUGAUGAUGAAACUAAUUGAUUGUAUUUAGAUGUUUAAUUGUAUUUUGAGUGAUGCAGGUCUACUCGAUCAGGAUUAGACAGUUAACACGGGAGGAAUUGACGUUGCGCCGGAGGAGAUCACGUUAGGAUAUUGGAUGGCAGAAGGCUUCGGACGUCGGGCAUCGGGCCAAGAGCGGAAUUGCGCCAAGGAUAUCGGGGUUGCAGAGGUCAACCGCCGAUUGGGCAACAAGCCGCAAGAGAGGACAAUGAGCUGAAGAAUCGGACGAAGCGCUAACCAAUGAUGUGUCGGGCAACAGAAUGUCAAUUCGCGUUGAAAUAAUUGUCUAGAUCAAAGUAGAGUUUUGGCUUGUGUGUGCAGGAUUAACUACGAUAACGACGAAGAUAUAAAGCGAAACAAAGUGUCGGAGUCAAGCGCGAAGGAUUUGUUGCGAGUUUGAGAGUUCGACGGAAGUCCGAAGGUUCGUCGGGAAUGUUGCCGGAACUAGCCGAGAAUGAGUAGGGAGCUUGCCGAAAGGUUUUUCGGAAGCUCGCCGGAAGGUUCGUUGGAAGUUCGCGGAGCUCACCGAGAAAGAUCGGAGCUUGCCGAAGAAGCUAGUUGGAACUCGCCAAGAUCAAAUUGUGAAGUCUAGGAGCUUGCCGGGAGUCCGCAGAAUGGUUUUCGAGAGUUCGUCGGAAGACCGCCGGAAGUUUGCCGGAAGCUCACCGGAAAAAGUCUUGAAUUGCAGACUUUGUAAUAGCUUAGGAAAUGUCUUUAAAUUCGUAGUUAGCACGUUAAUUAGGGUUAGGAUUAGGUGUUAAUCCUAUAAUCCAAGUAGGGGCCAAUUGAGCUUGAGUUCGGACUGGUUUGAGCCAAGUUUGGAGCCCAACCAGUGAGCUGAAAUAGUGUAGGCGGUGGCACCGCCCAGAACCCGAGAACUGAGCGAUGGCACCGCUAGCCUCGGGAACCCAAGAGAAUUCAAAAUUUGGAGCCUAAAUUUGAAUCCUCUUGGGGCCUAUAAAUACCCCUCAAUUCUCAACUGAGAAGACAACAUUUGAGAAAGCAAAUAUAUUGAGAUAAAAGUCUUAGAGAAGUCUUUAGCAAGUCUUGUUCUCAAUUUUUGAGUGUUCACCUCCUUCUUUCUCUUAAAAAAUUUGUAAGAGUGUGAACCAUUUGCAAAAGGUUGUAAGAGGGGUAUUUGUCCUUCCCCUUCAAAAAGAUUUGUUAGUGGAAGUUGGGAGCCUCAUUGAAGAAGGUUUCGCAAGUCAAUGUAGGUCAUUUGACCGAACCACUUUAAAUUGACGUGUUCUCUGGUUUGCAUUUACUUAUUGCUAUUUACCUUACUGCAAACCUUCGUACGUACUUUACUUUCUCGUUACUUUUGCUGCACACCUUUACGAAUACGCUUAAGUUAAGCACUUUCGAGUUCGAUUUUUAUCGUACGAAAUAUUUUUCAAAACCGACGUUUUAAUCUACUGCACUAAUUCACCCCCCACCCCUCUUAGUGCCGCUUCGAUCCUAACAGUGGUAAGAUAAUCAUUCUUAAAAUAAUAUUUAUAUAAAAUUUUAAAACUUAGAGCGUUGUAGGAGACAAACAUGUGUGAUUUUCUAAAAACAGAUAAAAUUAUAUAAAUAUUAUAUAGAUAAUUUUAUCCAUAUUUUUAUAUAUAAAUAAUUUAUUCCUGUAAUUUUGGUUACACAAGCUACAUAUAGGAAUUAGGGUUUCGCUACAGGUGCUAUCUUUUGUCCCACAAUGGCGGCUGUUACGAUCCGCUCCGUACUCCGCCGCAAUAGCCUUCUGCCCCUGUUCGAAACGUGCCGCCUUCGAGAUCUCUUCUUCUUCUCCUCCUCUGUCGACCCUGCCGCCGCUGUAGGCGUCACCAUAUCUCCAGAUCCCAACUUCAUGGUGGAAUACCUCGUGAACUCCUGUGGGUUCUCCCCCCUCCGAGGCAGCCAAGUUCUCUAAACCCCUUGCGCACCUCCGAUCCACCGAGAAACCAGACGCCGUCCUUAACUUCAUGAGAUCUCAGGGCUUCGACGGCGCCGGUAUCAGGAAGGUGAUAUCUGGGGAUCCCAGAUACUUAUGCUGCAACGUGGAGAAGAACCUCACCCCGAAGUUUCAGUUCUUACGCGAUUUGGGCCUAUCGGAGUCUGACAUCGUCGAUGUCAUCCGGAAUAACAAUGAGAUCCUCUGCCGCAACGUUCACCGUUCCUUCGUCCCCAGAUUGGAGUUGUGGGAAAGUAUCUUGGGAUCGAGAGAGCUUGUUCUCAAGCAUCUCAAGAAGACAGGAUGGUUUUUCUUUCCCAGCGUUGAGAAGACAUUGCAUCCUAACCUAAAAUUCUUGAGGGAUGAGUGCGGCAUUCCUGAAGAAAGGCUCUCUCUCGUCUUGAGAAGUCACCCACAAUUAAUCUCACAGAAACCAGACUCUCUCCGAGCUUUGGUGGCGAGAGCCGAUGAGCUGGGGAUGCCACGGCAAUCUCGGAUGUUCAUGUGGACACUUAAUAUUCUCCAGAGGGUAAGCAGAGAAAGGUUCGAGGCCAAGGUCGAGCUCAUGAGGUUUUUCGGGUGGUCGGUGUCGGAGUUUUCUUCUGCAGUCAGGAAAAAUCCCACUUUCUUAGGCAUUUCCCUCGAUAUGAUGUGGAGAAAAGUGGAUUUUUUUUAUCAAUGUGGUCGGUUGCACCCCUUCCUUCAUCGCCGACAAAUCAAAUCUCUUGCUAUUUAGUCUGCAGAAGAGGGUAAUUCCUCGGUUUCGUGUCACAGAGAUGUUGAAAUCGAAAGGAUUGUGGACUGGACAAGGCUAGUUUACAUGCAUUCUCACAUUAUCAGACACCAAGUUCAUUGAGAAGUUUGUUCUCCCUCACAAAGAAAGCUUGAUAUUUUGGGAGUUGUGGGCGUGUGUAAAGGAAAAUGAUACCUUUCAUUUGGUAUCGGAGGCUGAGAAAGGGCUUAGCUGAUGGUCUAAUUUGUCCACGACAAAAGGUAGAUUAUUCCCCUAAUUUGAGAUUUGGGAAUUUUCUGCAAAGGGCUUAUCUAAAGGUCCAUUUAGGUGUGGGAUUUUUCUUUUAUGACAAGCUAGCUAGGUUAACAUUGAUUAUAAAUCAAAUUUGUUCUGUCUUACUGAUUGCUAGCUUAAAUUAUUUUCUGAUUGUCUUUGGCAUAGUAUUGUUGCUUUGUACGUUAGCUGCAAGUUUUAAAAUUUCUACCUAACAGUCCAACUGAGAUGACCUUCGGAUCUAUCGUAGGGACAUUUGGCUUUUGUCCAAAUUAAUUCCAAUUCCGGAUGGGAUUUUGGUUGUUGGGUAAGUCUCAAAGAGUCCUAUUUUAGAUCAACUUAUGCAGUAAGUAUAUACAAAAUAUCACCAAAGAUCACAGGAAGUUGCUGAGUAGUAGUUGCUCUAACGAUUUAAGUGGCUGAAAAAAUCAUAGAACAGUAAAGAGUUGUUUCUGUAAUUUGUUUUGAAAUGAGUCGUCACCCGAUUUAUGGAUUUGGAUAUGUCUAAGAAGGCUUCUUUGCAUACUUAUUUAUUUGUGUGCUAAUUGGAUAUUUAAGUUUAAUUUAUGCAUUGUAGUAUUAGUGUGCAGUUGCUUCAAUGGAGUUUGAAAGAGCAGUUGCAUUGGGCUGAUCAGGAGUCACCAGCUUUAGUACUAACUUUGCUUCUGGGUUGUAUGGACUUUUCUCAGAGCAUCAAGACUUUGAGUAUGCUAUCCUAAAAUUUCUUCAGCCUCAUUUGGAAUUGCUAAAGCUUUUCCUGCAUCAAAAAGUCGAUUAUGAAAUCUUGAUAUGUGAGCCUCCUCCAAUAGUUGCAUCUUUAUUGAAUGAAAAUAUCUUUAUUGAAUGAUUUUCAAGAACACAAAAUCGUUUAUGAAAUAUAAUAAAAUCAUUCUUAGCUUAAAAUUUUUUUAGUUAAGAUCCCUAAGCUAUCAAAUUAGCUAUUAUCUGCAGAUGAAUAUUUUUCUUUUGAUUUUUUUUAUCCUUUCUACAAAAAAUAAUUGUACCAUUAGACAUAUUUAUUUGCCUCAAAUAAAAGUUCUAGCUUUAUAUUUACCAAAUUUGUCAUCAUAAUUUUUUUAAAAUAUUCAUAUAGGUUAUAAGAUUUAAAAAAAUUUUAUUCAAGACAUCAACAAUUAUAUUAGCCUUCCCAAGAUGAUCUUUAGGAAGUUUGAUGAUCUUCUCUAUCCCAUAUUUAAAUUAUUCUAAGUGAAAAUAUACUUGAAAUCUUAUUUAAGAUUUCAAAAGUAUAUCCAUAAAGAUAAUACCUUUAAAGUUUUAGUGCGAAAAUGUUAGAUAUUAGUUUAAGUUAUGAGUAAGAUAAGUUUAUUUCAUGAGGCUUUAAUUAUUUAUGUACAUAAGAAUUAUUUUUUAUUUUAUAUUAGAACAUAACUAAGUCUUUGAAGUGAGGUGUUACUAUACAUUACAAGACCUCAUAAAGAUCAGAAUAAUAGCUAAUUUCUCUUUCAAUUCUUCAAAACUUUAUUGACACAAUUUUACAUUCUUGUGUGUUAAUUUGGUUAAAGGUAUUGUUAUUUUUUAAAGAUCUUUUACAAAUCUUUUACAAUAUCCAAUCAUACCCAAUAAGACUUUAAACUUUGAAACAUUAAGAGGUUGUUUCCAAUUCAUCAUAGUUUCAAUUUUUUGGGGGCCAAUAGACAUAUCACACUAGAAAUUAUAUGACCAAGAAAUAUAACCUUAUUGAGAUACAAAUUGAAGUUAUUAAAUUUGACAUACAGUUUCUCUUGUCUUAAGACUUUUAAAAUUUGUCCUUAGAUAGUGUUUAUAUUUUGUUAUAUUUCCUAUUUUUGAAGUAGAUCAAAAUGUUAUCAUUGAAUAUAAUUAUAAAUUUAUCAAAAUAAGAGUGGAAUCACUUAGAUCCAUAAAAGCAACUAGUACAUUUGUGUAUUCGAAAGAUAUUACUAAAAAUUUAUAAUAAUCAUAUCUUAUUCUGAAAAUAAUUUGAUGUAUUUCUCAAUCCCUCUUAUCUUUAGUUGAUAAUACUCAAAUCUCAAAUCAAUUUUUGAGUAUACUUGAGUGCUUAAAGCUGAUUAAAUAGUUCAUCUAUCCGAGAAAAAAAAUAUUUAUUUUUUAUGAUCACUUGGUUGAGUUCUCUUUAAUCGAUGCGUAGGAUCCAUCAUUUUUCUUUAUAAACAGGUGAUGGAAACCCCAAGAUAAUAUAUUAGAUCGAAUAAAGCCAUUAUCUAAAAGUUCAUGAAUAUGCUUUUUUAACUCUAACUCAAUUGGUCUCAUUCUAUUAAGAAUUUUGGAAAUAGGUGUAGUGUCAAGUAGAAGGUCAAUUAUAAAUUCAAUUUACUUGUUCGGAUAAUCUAAGUAAAUCUUUAAGAAAAUCAUAUGAAAAAUCUUAUACAAAAGAGAUAUCUUUUAAUAUAAUAAAAAUAAAACUAAGUACUCUCAAUAUCCUUUCAAUAAUAGUUAGUAGCACUAAAAGUUGAAAUAAUAUGAUAGAGCUUUUCUUGAAGCCCAAUGAACUAAAUGAAUGUUUGAUAUUGGGGUGAGAAAAUAACAAUUUUUUGAAAAUAAUCAAUAUUAUGAAACUCUAGUAGAAUAAAGUCUACUAACAAAUCAUGACUUUCAAUAAUAACAACACAAUUUCUAAAUAAUUGAUUAGUUAUCAAAGAGUUUUUAAUUAGUGUUGCUAUUAACAAUGCAUUACUAGUUGUUUUAGGAUUCUUAUGUAGUCUCUUAAUAAAAUAAUAUGAUAUAAAAAAUAUAUGGAACCAGAAUCUAUAAGCAUAUAAUAGACAUACCAUGGAGUAUAAUUAUACCUUGAAUGAUAAAUCUUGAGGCUUCAACAUCUUAACAGGUGAGUACAUAGUUUCAAUUGAUCUCCCCUUUUAUGUUUUGACUAUUACUAUUCAUAUGUUUGCUUUGGAGUUUGACGUUGGCGUUGUUUCUAUAGGUUGUCAUUCAACAAGUGUCUUGGUUACUGACAAAAGGCAUAUAUGUUGUCCCAUGGGGCGUGAGGUGAAAAUAUGAUCAAUCUUUUCAUAUAUAUAACAACUUAGGACAACUUGAUUACUAAGAGCUCGUAUAUAGUAAUGUCAAGAUUAUCUGCUCUUGCCCUUCUUUGAUGGUCCAAAAUAUGAUCCCCUAUAUAUAGAUGGUACAACACUAAAAGGUAACUUUUGAGUCUUUAUCUAUUAUAAUUCAUUAUCCAAUUUUUUCACCACUAGAGUUAGAUUGAGUACUUCAGUAUAUAUUAGUAAAAUUAAUACAAUAACAGAUUUUUCAAUUGAUGGAUGAAAUCUACUCUCAAAAAGAUAAGUCUUUUAAUAUUUAUUAAAGAUAAUAUAUGAAGAGAACUCGACUAGCUCAAUGAAAUAAUAAUCAUAUUUCAUCAUAAUCCUACUUUCCUAAUGAAUGCUAACGAACUCAUAUUGCUUUUCGAAACGAACCAAAUUAGGAAAGAACUACUUUAUUUUUAAAUUUCUCCUUUCCUAAAUGAAAAAAAUAGAUGACAUCUUCUAGUUUUCUUUGUGUUCAAUAGUUUUAAAUAUUUUCUUCACUUGAAGGAUCUAACGUUCUACAAGAUUAGAUCUAGUUUGUUCUAGAAAAUAAUUAGUCUCAAUUUCUUAAGGUGAUCUAAAUUGUUAUUUUUAUCUCGCUAAGCUUCAUCUCACUUCUUUUGAUUCUCAAAAUAGCCUCUUAUAAUAUUAAGAAUUUCGUGUACAUCAUCUAGAGUAUUGGCAAGUGCUGAAAAAUGAGAUGCAUUUUAAGGUGUCCAGAAAGUUAGCACAUAAUCAGUCAUAGGUGUAUGUGAGGAUUAAGUUUGUUUCAAAGUGAUAGGUGUAUGUGAGGAUUAAGUUUGUUUCAAAAUACGUAAAACUUUCAAGUUAAUAUUUGCUAUACAUCUUUCGGAGUCAUAUGCCAAUAGCAUUAUGACCAUAAAUAUCUCGAGCAAUAUGAUUAUUAUUUACUUAAAUUGGAUUCAUAUCUCGUAUAAUAAGUUAAAAAAUAAUCAUUGAAUAUCUAUUAACCCUAAAUAAAGCAAUGAUAUCAUAAAAAAAGCACAUCCUAUAUACUUUUUUUGAAUGAUUACAACAUCUUUCUAUAUAUACAUCACUAGCCAAAUUAAAAAAAAUAUUUUAUUAAUAUAUAAAUUAUAAAUAUUUAUUAUAAUUUAUUUAUUCAUAAAAAUAAAAGUCAAAAGUUAGGUUUUAUAAAGAAAGAUAAAUCAAAAAGAAAAUCCAACUAGCUGUACCUAGCGAAAAAGAUAUUUUUGCUCUCUAUUAGAAUUCGAUUUAGUAUUAUUAUAAGAUUGUUUUGAAAAUUAAAAAUAAAAUAAUAAAAUUUUAAUAUGUUGAGUAGGAAACCUUAUAAGUUAAAUGUAACAUAAAUACAUAUCCAAAACAUGCUCAAAUAUGCACUCCCAUAACAACAAAUGGAAAAGUUUAUGUUUUCCUAAUAGUAAAUAGAUACAAAUACAUAUUGUGAUAUCAUUCACCUACUAAGGUAGAUAGAUAUUUUCAGUGUCACUAAUAUUAAAAAAAUAUCAAUUAAUUCUCAAUUGAUUUGAACCAUGACUCAACAUUUAACUCAAUUUAACUAGUACAUAACUAAAAUCGAUAUCUUAUUUUUAUUUAAUCGAUUUGAACCACCCCUUUAGAUUAGAUUUUAUUUAAUUUAGGUUAAAUAGAUUUAAAUAAGUUAAAUCGGUUUGAAAUUCUCCAGAUCAAAACUGAUUAAAUGUAAUUUGAUUCAGGAUAAUAAGAUAGAUUAUACAAUACUAAGUUAGAUUGAGCUAGCCUAAAUCAUAUACACUGCGUAUGUUUGUGCAUACAUCAUCAAAUUAUAGUCAAAAUAAUUAAUCAUUAAUAUUGAGUCAUUAAAAUAUAAUAAAUAAUAAUAGAUCCAAAAAGAUAAAAUUAUAUUAGGGAGAAAAUAACGUUUUUAUUCGACUAUUAUAUAAAUCUAAUAGAAAUCAAAUAUUACAAUUAGCAUGCAAGAAAAAAUUUAAUUUUAUAUAUAGUAUGAAUAAUUAAAAUAUAUUAUUAAUUAAAAAUAAUUUUUUAAAUACUUAACAGCAUGGAAGAAAAUUUUAUAAAUUGUAUAUAGCAUGAAUAAUUAUAAUAUAUUUUAAUAUAAAAAUAAAAUUUUAAGUACUUGAAUGAAUAUAAGAAAAUUUUAGAAACUGCACAUAAUAUAAAUAAUUGUAAUACAUCUCAAUUCAAAAAUAUUUUUUAAAAAAAAUUAAAUAUAUAAAGAAUAUUUAUUUUUUUUUAAAUACAAGAGAACCUAUUCUUAUGUAAAUUCUUGUUCCUCACACAAUAAAAAAUGGAGAAACUCCUCCCCGCCCUUCAAGGUAAUAAUUUUUAUUUUUAUUUAAUUUAUUGAUAAAAAAUAACAACAUUUAACCUAAAGUAUAAAAUAUUUAUUUUAUAAAUUUUAUUCCCUAGAAAUUAAAAAAAAAAUUAUACUGAAAGAUUUGAUUACAAAUGAAACGGUGAAAAUAGUAUCUUGUAGAUCACUUUAUCUAUUUGUUUGAUAUAAAUAAUUUAUCCUGUAAUUUUGUAUUUCUUGUGCAUAGCGAAGAAGGUUACACACGCUGCAUAUAGGAAUUAGGGUUUCGCUACGGGUGCUAUCAUUUGUCCCACAAUGGCGGCUGCGACGCUCCGCUCCGUACACCGCCACAAUAUCCUUCUGCCCUUCUUCAAAACCUGCCGCCUUCGAGAUCUCUUCUUCUUCUCCUCCUCUGUCGACCCUGCCCCCGCUGUAGGCGUCACCAUUUCUCCAGAUCCCAACUUCAUGGUGGAAUACCUCGUGAACUCCUGUGGGUUCUCCCCCUCCGAGGCAGCCAAGUUCUCUAAACCCCUUGCGCGCCUCCGAUCCACCGAGAAACCCGACGCCGUCGUUCACUUCAUGAGAUCUCAGGGCUUCGAUGGCGCCGGUAUCAGAAAGGUGAUAUCUCGAAAUCCCAGUCACCUAUGCGUGAACGUGGAGAAGAACUUGGCCCCGAAGUUUCAGUUCUUACGCGAUUUGGGCUUAUCGGAGUCGGAUAUCGCCGAUGCCAUCCUGAAGAACGAUUUCAUCCUGCGCCUCGACGUUCACCGUUCCUUGGUCCCCAGAUUGGAGAUGUGGGAAAGUAUCUUGGGAUCGAGAGAGCUCGUUCUCAAGCAUCUCAAGAAGACAAGAUGGUUUUUCUUCUCCAGCGUUGAGAAGACAUUGAAUCCUAACCUAAAGUUCUUGAGGGAUGAGUGCGGCAUUCCUGAAGAAAGGGUCUCUGUCGUCUUGAGAAGUCGCCCACAAUUAAUCUCACAGAAACCAGAGUCUCUCCGAGCUUUGGUGGCGAGAGCCGAUGAGCUGGGGAUGCCACGGCAAUCUCGGAUGUUCGUGCGGACACUUAAUGCUCUCCACUACGUAACCCAAGAAAGGUUCGAGGCCAAGUUCGAGCUCAUGAGGAGCUUCGGGUGGUCGGAGUCGGAGUUUUCUUCUGCUGUCAGGAAAGCACCCACCUUCAUAGGCAUGUCCCUCGAUAUGUUUCGCAGAAAAGUGGAUUUUUUUAUCAAUGUGGUCGGUUACACCCCUUCCUUCAUCGCCGACAAAUCAUCUCUCUUGCUAUUUAGUCUGCAGAAGAGGGUCAUUCCGCGGUUUCGUGUGACGGAAAUGUUGAAAUUGAAAGGGUUGUGGACUGGAAAAUACAAGUUUACAUCGAUUCUCUUAUUCACAGAUACCAAAUUCAUGGAGAAGUUUGUUCUCCCUCACAAAGAAAACGUUCCUGAGCUGCUUGAUAUUUUGAGAGUUGCUGGCACCUGGAAAGGAAAUUAUACCUUGCAUUUGGCAUCGGAGGAUGAGGAAGGGCUUAGCUGAUGGUCUAAUUUGUGACGACGAAGGUAGAUUAUUCCCCUAAUUUGAGAUUUUGGAAAUAGAAUGCAAAGGGCUUAUCAAAAGGUGAAUUGAGGUGUGGGAUUUUUCUUUUAUGACAAGCUAGAUUAGCAUUGAUUAGAAAUCAAAUUUGUUCUGUCUUACUGAUUGUUAGCUUAAAUUGUUUUCUGAAUGUCUUUGGCAUAGUAUUGUUGGUCUGUCUGUAAACUGCAUGUUUUAGAAAUUCUACAUGACAGUCCAACUGAGAUGACCUUUGGAUCUAUCGUAGGGACUUUUGGAUUUUGUUUGGGUAAGUCUUGAAGGGUCAUAUUUCAGAUCAAGUUAUGCAGGAUAUAGAAAUUAUCACCAAAGAUCUUAAUUCCAAUUCCGGAUUGGUUUUUGUUUGGGUAAGUCUUGAAGAGUCAUAUUUCAGAUCAAGUUAUGCAGGAUAUAGAAAUUAUCACCAAAGAUCACAAGAAAUUGUUGAGUGGUAGUUACUCUAAUGAUUUAAGUGGCGAAAAAAACUUAAAACACCAAAGAGUUGUUUCUUUAAUUUGUUUUUAAAUCAGUCAUCACCCAAUUUAUUGAUUUGGAUAUAUCUAAGAAGGUGUUAUCUCUUGUCAGUCGAGGCUUCUUUGCAAACUUAUUUAUUUAUGUACUAAUUGGAAUAUUUAAAUUUGAUUUUUGCAUUGUAAUAUUAGUAUGCAGUGGCUUCAAUGGAAUUUGAAAGACCAGUUGCACUGGGUUGAUCAGGAGUCACCAGCUCUUCUGAAAUGUCUUCAACCUCCUUUGGAAUUGCUAAAGCUUUUCACGCAUCAACAAACUCUUGCAUGCCUCCAUAGGCUUCUGCUCGUCCACUCUUUGUGAUUCCAGGUGCAGAUCUCUUCAUUCUUGGAGUUCAUUCUUGGAUUCGGUGGAUGCAACUUUUCAUCAUCAUAGCUGAAGCUUCUGCUCUACUCGAAAGCUUUCGGAAGGCUGUACAACUAAAUUUCUCCAACAUCUGAAUCGAACUAAUUCCCUUGAGUUAGUCGAUUCGCUGGUUCCUUCUUUUAUUUCUUUGUUCAAGUCUUUAUGUUGUCGAUGUGGUCCAUGUUUCCCGUGUCAUGAAAGGCGUGGUCCAUUGGCUAGUCAAUCUCAGAAGGACUGUAAAUUCUCUAUGUUUUGUGGGUCUUGUAAUGAUAGAUCAGUCUAGCUCAUUAUCUAAUCCACUUUAAUCUUUUAUGAAAUUUCUCCUUUUUUGGUAAAAAUAAACAAACUCUAACAUGCAAACUAACAUGUAAGCUCAGAAGGUUUAAAAGUGACAAUUAAAUGUGUAUUGCAAGAUUCGGUAAUUGGCUUUAUUUCUUGUUGUAGAGUUUAUGAUCAUUUACGUCACUAGUAUUUCUUAUUUAUGCACACUAUCUUGACCCGUUCUCAACGAGUAUUUUUCUGGCUAUCCGUGCCUUUUUGUAUGUAUUCAGUGUUUUGAAUUUUGAUAUCAGUUGAUCCCUCUUUAUUCUAUUCUUUGUCUUAGAUAAUAAUGUGUCUCUAUUUUGUUAAGACAGACAUUAGUGAAAUGAAUAUAUGGAAGGAACUGAGAAAAGCAGAAUUCAUAAUUUUAAAUAAGACAAGUCAUCAAAGCAAAAUUAUGCACUUAUAUCAUGUUAAUGAACCAAUGCAACGUGAGCAUACAACAUACGCAUUUUCAAACAAAGGAUACGAUAUUUAUUGAUGAUCACGAAAUUGGCAUAUAUAGAUUGAUGUCUCCAGAUUGAAAUGUGGCCUGCUGUAAUUAACAGGUGUUAUGCUACAGAUAUACUAUAUUGAUGUAUGGUUAAUUUAAUUAAAUAUCAUAUAAUCCAUGAUCAACUUCAAUCUUGAUUUUUUUUUGAAUUUUUACGAGUCAUAAAUACUAUUCAAGACAUAUUAAUUUAAACAAAAGAAAUCAAGUUUUAAAGGAUUAUAGGAUUGUUUUUUUUUCAAAUCUGGUGCAGCAAUAAAUUAUUUUUGGAUCAAAUAAAUGAAUAAUUUUAUAUUUUUUAAAUACAAAAUUAUAUAAAUAUUUUGUAGAUCACUUUAUCCAUAAUUUUGAUAUAAAUAAUUUAUUCCUGUAAUUUUAAUCUCUCGUAAUAGUGAAUGAUAGUUGUUGAAAUUAUGAUGCUCCUAUGGCUCUCCUUUAUUCUUAAAUAAUUGUCAUAAAGCUUGUCUUCCUCCUUAGUCAUGAUAACUUCUUAUCCCUAUUUGAAACCUAUCGCUUUCAAGGUCUUCUUUUUUUCAUAUCUUACUUCAUCACCGAUUGAUUGUGAUCAUGUUCUAUCAAAUUAGCUGAAAAGAUAAGGAUGAUUGAAGAUGAACUCAACGUUUAAUAAGAAGAAGUGAAUAACAUUAUGGAACUAUGACUCAAAUGCGUCUAAUGUCCUAUCGUGUACAAGCAAAAGGAUGACCUCCUCAAACUGAUGGGUGAAUCCAACAGACAAUUGAGAUGGAAGCACCUCUAUCGGACGCAUUCCAUGCCAGGAAGCAUCCCCAUCAUCAUCAUACAAUAGUACAUAUGUUGACCUAUGUACGAGUGUACAACAUGAAAAGGGAAGCUCUUAGCUAGUCUUCAACUCUUCUUCUUCCUCUCUUAAGAACUAACGGGGGAUACCGAGUGAGCUAACGGGGGAUGCAGGAGGCCACAUAAAGAAGAGUAGGUAAGGAGAUAGAGGAAGAAUGAUUCUGGAGAUCUUAGCAGUCAAGGACAUGACGCUAUUAUUGAACCUUUUAGCCAUGAGAGCAACAUAUAUCAUUGUCUCUAUCACACUUUCUUCCCCCAAAUAUAAUUUAGCCCUGCUUUGUCUCAAUGCAGUCUGCAAUAACAAACCAACGAAGUGAGUUUUCAUAAGUACAUUUUGAAAUCAGCAUUUGAUCAGAUCCGUGAACAUGCAUUAGUACAUACAUUAAUAUCUAAAACCUUUAAUCAUAUAAUGUUUUGAUUUGAGUACCUGAAACUAAGAAAAUUUUCAAGAAACAAUAAUCUCAUAAAUUAAAUCACUAGAAAGGUUAAUUUCAUACAACUAUUGUACAUCUGUUCUCCAUAUGCUAUCAUACAACUUUAAGGUAUGGAUAUAUAUAUAUAUAUAUAUAUAUAUAUAUAUAUAUAUAUAUAUAUAUAUAUAUAUAUAUAUAGUUUUACGAUCUUAACUUAGAGUUAAAUCAUGACCACAUAAUAUAAAUCAUAUAAAUCGAGUAUAAUCAAAUUAUACUUGAUCAUAUAAGUUAAAUUAUAUUUGAUUAUAUGAGUUAAGUCAUAUCUAACUAUAUAAGUUUGGUUAUAUUUAGUCACUUGUGUUAAGUCAUACCUAAUCACAAAAAUUUGAUCAUGUCUAAUCACACAAGCUAAAUCAUGCUUGAUCACAUGGAAUGGAUUAUGCUUAAUCAUACGAGUUAUACCUGAUCAUAUAUGCUAAGUCAUAACUAUUAAAUGAGUUAGACAAUGCUUGAUAACAUAGGAUGAGUUAUGUUUAACCACAUAAGUUAGAUCAUGUCUCAUCACAUAAAUCGAGUAAUAUAUAACUAUAUAUAUUAUAUUAUAAUUGACUAUAUGGAUUGUGUUAUGUUGAAUCACAAGAGUUGAAUCAUACUUGACCACGACCACGUAGAUUGAAUGAUACCUAAUCACGUGAGUUUGAUUGUACUUCACCAUAUAGAUUAAUUUGGUCAAUCAACUUAACUAAGAUUAAAUCUCAAAUUUGACUCAUACUUGUUAAAUUAGAUUUUAACAUUUUAAAAAUAUUUUAAAAUAUUAUAAAAAUAAUAAUUCAUCAUAAAUCUAUUAAUUUUCAUGAAUUAACUAAUUUAGAUUUAUGUUCAAAAUUUAAAAGUAAUUAAAUCUAAAAAUACAUACUUAAUUGUUUAAAACAUAAAUACACUUUCAAUGAUCAUUAUUUAUUAAUAAUAAAAUUUUAAAAUUAAAAAUAUCAUUUUUUAUGUAUAAAUUAAAAUAAUUUAAAUAUUAAAUAAUUUUAAAAAUAUAAAAAUAAAAUAUUAAUAAUAAAAAAAAUAUACUCUCCUCAUGAUCAUUUCCUCUAAGAGAGCUAGGAAUUGAGUAAAGAUGAGCUUGAGCUCUCCAUAAAAGAUAAAUAAUAAUUUUAAUAAUUUUCUUAAUCAUAUUAUAUAAAUAAAAAAUACUAAUUUAAAUAAAAUAAUAUAUGAUUUAAAGUAAUUAAUUGAUGUUAGAAAUUUAUGGAUGAUUACAAAAGUCACGACUUUAUUGGAUGAUCUGCAUGAUUAGUAAACUAAUAAAUUAUCUGUAGUCAAUCAAGCUAACCUAACAAUUACAAGAUCUUUUGAAUGUUGAUAGUUGCAAUUUGUUAACUAUGUAAUCAAACAAAGAAGACAAAAUUCAGAAUAUGCUAUAAGUUCCUGAAGUUUCAGAAUACCUAACAUCUAUAAAAAGGGAAGAGUUGAGAUGAAGCAUUAUGAAAACGAUGUAAAAGUAUAACAUGAAAAUGCACCAAGGAAUAUAUAUAUAUAUAUAUAUAUAUAUAUAUAUAUAUAUAUAUAUAUAUAUAAUUCAUCAAGAAAAAUUCAGAUCAUCAGAUAUGAGAGACAGCAAAAACAUAAAGGGCUUUCACAUGCAUGCAUGGCAAACGAAAAGGUUCAAUUGUGAUUUUAAAAACAUAAUUGUCAUGCAAAAAGAUAAAUUAAUGGUUCAAGUAAGACAUAUCUUAAUAAGAGUAAUUUAAUUUUUAACCCACGAGACCAAGCCGAAGCAUUACACAAUAGGAGUAAUAAAAAAUCCACAGUUAUUGAAAUUUGUUACUUAAAAACUCGGAGUAACUUAUAGUUACCAUUUCCCCAUAAACCAAAAAUUUAUUUCCACUAUAUUUUUCCUUGACUAAGAAUAACAUCAUUAAACUUCUACCAUCGAUCGAUGACAAUGACAAACUUGCCAUCUGUAGGAGAGCAAAGGUCAAGAACAAAAACAUGAGAAACCAUAAAAUUCUUUCUUAAAAAAAUUAAUUUAAUAAGUUCAUAUCAAGUGGUCAAUUAAGAAAAUUAUCAAAAGUAAUAUCAUGGUUACAUCUACUCCGCGGGCUAUGAUAUAGCUUAUGAGUUCAGCCUAACAUACUAAUUUAUUUCAAUUUAAAUCAUAAUUAAUUUUUAAAUUUUAAAUUAUACUAUCAUGAAAUUAUAACAAAAAUAAAUUAUAUACCGAUCAUUUUCAUGUCGAGAUAAAAUAAUAUAUUAAAAUAUUUUUAAUUUAUCUUUUAAAUAUUAUUUAAUAUAAAAUAAUAUCAAUUAGUCCUUAAUUAACUUGAAUCCUAGUUCAAUCGAUCUAAUUGAAUUGGAUUUAAUUAUAACCUAGUUUAAUCGAUCUCUAAUUCUUAUUUAAUUGAUCUAAAAUUAUCUUAAACUUAAUAUAUUUUAGAUUAUAUUAAGUUUAAUUUAUGUUAAAUAUAUUUAAAUAAAUUAAAUUACUUCAAAGUCACCUUCAAUCGAUUUAAAUUUAUCAAAUUAGAUUUCGCUCAAUCGAACACAAAUGAAAUAAAGUAAAGAUAGUAAUAUGAUAUGUUAAGUUAGUCGAUGUACUUAUUGUAUAUGACUAUGCAUAUAAAAUACCAAGCUAUGUCGAAUCAUAGCCCAUGAACUAAUCAUAUGCACUACACAUGAUUGUCCAUGUUGAGUCGGAUUGAAUGACUAACUAGGCUUAACCUGUUGGGUCGAAUCUACGGGUUGUAGUUUAGCCUGUGGGUAGAUCCUGAUUUGCUAAACGAAUUUCAACCUAAAUCAUAAUAAUUUUUUUAAUUUUAAAUUAUAACAUCAUGAAAUUAUAAUAAAAAUCUCAAACUAUUGCAAUUGAGUCAUUAAAACAUAAUAAAUAGUAAUCUAUUAAAAAUAUAAAAUUGCAUUAAGGGGGAAAUAAUAUUUUUAUUCAACUAUUAGAUAAAUCUAAUAAAAAUUGAAUAUUACAACUAGUAUAAUGCAUAAAAGAUAAAAAUUUUCAAAAUUAUUAUAGUAUGAAUAAUUAUAAUAUAUUAAAUCUAAAAAUAAAAUUUUAAAUAUUUGGAUGAAUAUAAUAAAAUUUUAGAAACUAUAUAUAUCAUGAAUAAUAAAAAAUAAAAAAAUAUUAAUUUUUUAAAAAAUAUAGAAACACCUAACUGUACGUAGUGAAAAACGAAGAAGAGGAAUCACCCCUAUUAAAUAAAAAAGUCCAACCUUCCAAGGUAAUAAAUAUUUUAAUUUAUUUAUUUAUUUAAUAAAAAAUUAUAUCACUUAACUUAAAAUAUUGAAUAUUUAUUUUAUAAAUUUUAUUCAUAAGAAAAGAAAGUAAAUAAUUGUACUUAAACUGAAAUAUUUAAGCACAGAUGAAACCUGUCAAAUUAGUAUUUUAAGAUCAUUUUAUCCAUAUUUUUUAUAUAAAUAAUUUAUUCCUAUAAUUUUGUUUUUCUUGUGCAUUGCGAAGGUUAUACACAAUACGUAUAAGGAGGGUGGUUGUAAUUAGGGCGCCGCUGCGGCUGCUCUCUUGUCCCACAACGGCUGCUGCUCCGCUCCGCUCCGUACUCCAACGCCGCAAUGGCCUUCUGCCCUUGUUCGAAACCUGCCGCCUUCGAGAUCUCCUCUUCUUCUCCUCCUCUGUCGACCCUGCCGCCGCCGUAGGCGGCACCAUAUCUCCAGAUCCCCACUUCAUGGUGGAAUACCUCGUGAACUCUUGCGGGUUCUCCCCCUCCGAGGUCCGAGGCAGCCAAGUUCUCUAAAUCUCUUGCGCACCUCCGAUCCACCGAGAAACCCGACGCCGUCCUUAACUUCAUGAGAUCUCAGGGCCUCGGUGGCGCCGCUAUCAGGAAGGUGAUAUCUUCGGAACCCAAUUACCUGUGCUACAACGUGGAGACGAACAUCGCCCCGAAGUUUCAGUUCUUACGUGAUUCGGGCCUAUCGGAGUCGGAUAUCGUCGAUGUCAUCCUGAAGAACGUUGUUAUUCUGCUCCUCGACGUUCACCGUUCCUUGGUCCCCAAAUUGGAGAUGUGGGAAAGUCUCUUGGGAUCGAGAGAGCUCGUUCUCAAGCAUCUCAAGAAGACCCGGUGGUUUUUCUUCUCCAGCGUUGAGAAGAAAUUGCAUCCUAACCUAAAGUUCUUGAGGGAUGAGUGCGGCAUUCCUGAAGAAAGGGUCUAUGUCGUCUUGAGAAGUCACCCACAAUUAAUCUCACAGAAACCAGAGUCUCUCCGAGCUUUGGUGGCGAGAGCCGAUGAACUGGGGAUGCCACGGCAAUCUCGGAUGUUCGUGCGGACACUUGAUGCUCUCCACAACGUAAGCCGAGAAAGGUUCGAGGCCAAGGUCGAGCUCAUGAGGAGCUUCGGGUGGUCGGAGUCGGAGUUUUCUUCUGCAGUCAGGAAAGCACCCACCUUCUUAUGCAUCUCCCUCGAUAUGUUGCGCAGAAAAGUGGAAUUUUUUAUCAAUGUAGUCGGGUACACUCCUUCCUUCAUCGCCUCCCAACCAUCUAUCUUGCUAUAUAGUCUGCAGAAGAGGGUAAUUCCUCGGUUUCGUGUUUUGGAGAUGUUGAAUACGAAAUGCUUGUGGACUCGACAAGGCACGUGUUUGUCCUAUGUGAAAUUAUCAAAUGCAAAAUUCCGGGAGAAGAUUGUUCUACCUUACAAAGAAAAGGUUCCUGAGCUUCUUGAUAUUUUGAGAGCUGGUGAGUGUGAAGGGAAAUGAGCCCUUUUAUUUGGUAUCAGAGGAGGAUGAGAAGGGCUUAGCUGCUGGUUUAACUCACAUUUGAAUUUCUCAUCCGGAGCUGAGCAGUGAUUCGGCACCUUUUUCCUUGACAACAAGCUGUCUUACAUCAACCACCAGCCUUGGCUACUGAGUUGCAGUCCAGUGAAUGAAUUAUUCCUUUGGUGUCAUAUGGUAGUAAUGUUGUAAUUGGAAGGUCUAUGCAGUGCCCAACACAAAAUGUCUUCCAGUUUUACUCACUAAGGUUCAUGGAAAAAGUCUGUUCUUUGUUGCAAAGCAGAAGUCCCUGGCCUGUUUGAAAUCUCUGAUAGAUGAAGGUAGAUUAUUCCCCUAGUUUGAGAUUCUGGAAAUAGAAUGCAAAUGGCUUCUCUAAAAGUCUAUUGAGGUGUGAGAUUCUUCUUAUGUGACAAGCUAGUUUAGCAUUGAUUAUAAACCAACUUUGUCUGUAUGUGAAAAUGCAAAUGGCACAGUAUUGUUGGUUUGUAUGUGAACUGCAGAUUUUAGAAAUUCUGCUUAGCAGUCCAACGGAGAUUAUUUUGGAUCUUAGGAACAUUUGGAUUCUGUUUAAGUUGAUUCUGAACGGGUAUUUGGAUUCUGACAAAUGUAAUUCCGGAUCGGUUAUUGGUUGUUGGGUGAGUGUGAAAGAGCCAUGUUUCAGAUUAAGUUAUGCAGUAUGUAUACACCACCAAAGAUGACGAGAAGUUAAAUGGAGUAGUACUUGCUCUGAUGAUUUUAGUAGCUGAAAAAAAUUUAAACCCCAAAGUGUUGUUUCUAUAAUUUAUUGUAGGUGAGUUUUCACGGAUUUAUGGAUUUGGUUGUCUUCAAGGAGUUGUUAUCUUGUCAGUUGAGUUUCUAUGCAAACUUGCUCGUGUGCUAAUUGGAAGAUUCCAUUUAUGUUUCUGUUAUGUAUUGUGAUAUUUGCAUGCAGGGGCCUCAAUGGAAUUUGGAAGACCAGUUUUUGUGUUGAUCAGGAGUACCAUUGGUUUGGUACUCACCCAUUUCUUUUGCAUGUAAGAAGGUGUCACUUUGCUUGCAGGUUGAAUGGACUUCAGAGAAUCAAAACUUGUGUAUGUUAUACUGAAAUGCCUUCAGCCUCAUUGGAAUUGUUGAGUAUGCUAUCCUGAAUUGUCUUCAGCCUCACUGGAAUUGUAGAGUUUGCUAUCCUGAAAUGUCUUCAGCCUCAUUGGAAUUGUUGCCCAGGCAUUUCCUGCAUCAACAAACUCUAACAUGCAAGCUAAUUUAUACGCCUAAACAUUUUAAAAUUGACACCAAAAUGUGUAUUUCAAAUCUCUGUAAUUGUCUUUAGGAUUUCUUUUAGAGUUAAUGAUCAUUACAUCAUAAGGUUUUAUGUCCCGCAUUUAGUGCAGAAAUGACUACUUAUGAUUGUGCAAACUAUCCUUACCCAUUCUCAGCUACUCUUGUUUCGGCCUCUCCAUGCAAUUGUGCAUAUUUUUAAUAUCACAAUUCAGAUAAGAUCAUAAGAAUAUUGAUCAUCUUUCUCAUAUGUAAAAUGUUUUCGGAAUCUUGAUAUCAGCUGUUCAUCUUUUGCAGCGAAUUUUGUGUAGCUGUGCAUGAAUUGUGGAACUGAUAGAACUAACAAGUGCAUCAAGAAUAUUGGAAGGUAUGCGAAAACUGCUUUUCUAAUUACAUUCUUGUUCCUGCCAUGCUUGUUUGUAGUGCUAUAGAGUAUGCUAUGAAUCUUGUCUCUUGCAAGCAAUCAUUGGAAUUGGUUCUUGGAUUCUUGUUCAUAGUUUUUGUUUUGUUUUUGAGUGUGUUAGUUUAUUUAAUCUGUUGCGAGUUUGGUAUAACAAGGUUUCAAAAUCAUUUGGUUAUUAUCUCAAUUCUCAAUGGGCAUAUUGAGACCCACAAUCGGCCUAAAUUGGGCUUUCCCAUUGUGUAGGCUUGCUCAAUAUUUUCUUACUUUUGUUCGUAAGGCCCAAUUUAACCCAUUACGUUCCCGUAUGCAGCCCGUUUCUCGUGCGUACACUCAACCCUGUAUCUUACUUUCUUUAAAUGUUUGUUAUAGAUUGCUCCUCAGGCAAUCAGGUAAGUGUGAUUUCUGUGAAUUCUUCAUCAAGUCUGCUGCUUUUUCUUCUUUCUUCCAAUUGUAAGUUAUGUAUCUGUUAUCAUUCCACAACUAUGUGUAAGCAUAAUAUAGAUUGGAAGUUAAAUAUAUCUUGCAAUGAUUGUAAGAAUUCUUUAAUGUCAUGGAGAGUAUUCAAGCUGAAGUUUUUGUGGAAUCGUUUAACUAUUGGUUGUUAUUAGCAAUAAGUAAGAAGGACAUUGCAAUAGCAUUCUUAGCUUAAGUUUUGAUCUGCUAAUUACCUUACUUUUCAUGAAAGCAUGAUUGUGCCCUGUGAGAUUUUUAAUCAAAAGCUAAAUUUUCCUCUGCCUUAGAUUGGUAAUUUUGAGGUGUUACUGUUAUGUGUAGCAAUAUUAUGCAAUGGAAGGUAAACUUGUGCAUUUUAAUAUUGUCACAUCUUUGCAAUGAUCAUAAACAUUUUUCAAGUUUCUGGUGGUGCUAGUUUCUCCACUGUUGUUUAUAGUUGAGUUCUUAACCUAUGUUCUUCCAAGCAAGUUUGCCUUGAGCUAAAUGUAGCACCUGUGGGAUUUACAAUUGAAAGGUACACAGUAAGAUGAAGGCAACAGAGAUUCUUAGUGACUUACUGGGAAUGGAUGCUAAUAUGUUACAUAAAUGUACUUAAAUCCUUUGGGUCUCAAUUGACAUUACAAAAGGCUUGUUGUAAGUGCAAUGCCUUUUGUGCCAUGGUGCAGGUGGGAGCUAAGCACAAUGAUAAUAUCUAUAUUAAGAUAAAGUGGAUGAGGCAAAUGUGAAUUUUGUUGGUGGAUAUUUCAUGGUGGUCUAAUCAUAAGUGACAGAAGAUUGGAUGAAAGAAACAGAUUAAGAUUUGAGCCUAUGAGUGAUAAAAGGUAUUAGUAAAUUAGUCCCUCUCAUGGAUCGCGUCAGAUAUCGAAUUUAUUUUAUGUCAAGUCCUCAUCAUUAUUCCGACAUUUUUUUUUGUCAUCAAUGAUGAUUGUGGUUAACUAUUUAACUCUAUAAGUGUAAAAGAAUAUACAUACAUAUAUAUAUAUAUAUAUAUAUAUAUAUAUAUAUAUAUAUAUAUAUAUAUAUAUUAGCAUUUAUCUCUAUAUCCCUUGCUCCAAGAUAAACUGGAUUGUUGGAUUAAUAAUAAUAAUAAUAGUCUAUAAUAAUAAUUAUAGAAGAUUGGAUUUUGGAAAUAAUUAUUACAUAAGUAAUUGGGAGGCAGUCAACCUCAUUCCUUUCAUGUUGUAGAACAGACCACUUCAAAACCAUUAAGAAGCUUCAUGUGUAAGAAUCUUCAUACAAAGUCAAACUAACAUGUAAGCUCAAAAGGUUUAGAUGUGAUAAUUAAAUGUGUAUUUCAAGAUUCGUUAAUUACCUUUAGCUCUUGUAGUAGAGUUUAUAAUCAUUUGCAUCACUAGUAUUUCAGAUUUAUGCACACUAUCUUCACUCAUUCUCAACUCGUUUUUUUUCUGCCUAGCCAUGCUUGAUAUGCGUUUUAUAUUUUGAUAUUAGUUGUUCCGUCUUUGCAGCGAUUCUGUGCAGGAGUCGUAGAACUGAUAGAACUUGCAAGUUCAUCAACAAUAUUGGGAAGAUACUCUUUUUUCUUGAUGAUUGAAUAAUAACGUCCCAAUUCUUUUUGUCGACACACGUAUGACUCAAUUUUGGGAAGACAGACAUUAAUGAAAUGAAUAUAUGGAAGGAAGUGAGAAAAGUAGAAUUCAUGAAUUUAAAUAAGACAAGUAAUCUAAGCAAAAUCGUGCACUUAUUUUAUGUUAAUGAACCAUUGCAAUGUGAACAUAAAACAUAAAAGGAUAGGAUACUUUCGGAUGCUCAGGAAGUUGGCAUGUAUAGAUUGAUUGUCUCCAGAUUGAAAUGUGGCUUGCUAUAAUUAACAGGUGUUGUCAUAUAUAUAUAUAAAGGAUACUUUCGGAUGCUCACGAAGUUGGCAUGUAUAGAUUGAUUGUCUCGGAUAAUCCGUUUUUUUUUUACAUGAGGAUCAUCGAUAAUAGUCGAUCGGCAAGGUUGCUACUGUUUGGAUUGUCAAACAAACGAUAAGAUAGUGGAGGAUAAUUGACGAGGUAAAAAUAUAAUGAAACGCAUAUAAAAGUAGAGUAAAAAGCGAUGAUCGAUAGAAGAAAACUGAAUAUUAAAAAAAUUAAUUUUUUUUAAUUUAGGCAGUAUCAUAAGAAAAUUUGAAUGUAGAAGUUUUUUUUUAAAAAGAAUUCGUCGGAUGAUCAAAUCACUUUUCUCAUGUAAAGCGUGUUUUCUUAUGGAGAGACAAAAUUAUAUAAAUAUUUUGUCGAUCACUUUAUCCAUAUUUGUGAUAUAAAUAAAUUAUUCCUGCAGUUUUGUAUUUCUUGUGCAUAGCGAAGCUUAUACACACUAUAUAUAGGAAUUAGGUUACCCAUUUCAGUUCUCUUUCUUCUCCCACGAUGGCGGCUGCGACGCUGCGCUCCGUACUCCGCCGCAAUCGCCUCCUUCCCUUGUUCGAAACCUGCCGCCUUCGAGAUCGCCUCUUCUUCUCCUCCUCUGUCGACGCUGCCGCCGUCACCGUAGGUGGCACCAUGUCUCCAGAUCCCCACUUCAUGGUGGAAUACCUCGUGAACUCCUGCGGGUUCUCCCCCUCCGAGGCAGCCAAGUUCUCUAAAUCCCUUGCGCACCUCCGAUCCACCGAGAAACCCGACGACGUCCUUAACUUCAUGAGAUCUCAGGGCUUCGACGGCGCCGGUAUCAGGAAGGUGAUAUCUGCGGAUCCCAGAUACUUAUGCUACAACGUGGAGAAGAACCUCGCCCCGAAGUUUCAGUUCUUACGCGAUUUGGGCCUAUCGGAGUCGGAUAUCGUCGAUGCCAUCCUGAAGAACAAUGGCAUCCUCCACUACAACGUUCACCGUUACUUGGUCCCCAAAUUGGAGAUGUGGGAAAGUCUCUUGGGAUCGAGAGAGCUCGUUCUCAAGCAUCUCAAGAAGUCAAGAUGGUUUUUCUUCUCCAGCGUUGAGAAGACUUUGCAGCCUAACCUAAAGUUCUUGAGGGAUGAGUGCGGCAUUCCUGAAGAAAGGGUCUCUGUCGUCUUGAGAAGUGACCCAAAAUUCAUCUCACAGAAACCAGAGUCUCUCCGAGCUUUGGUGGCGAGAGCCGAUGAGCUGGGGAUGCCACGGCAAUCUCGGAUGUUCGUGCGGACACUUGUUGCUCUCCACAACGUAAGCAAAGAAAGGUUCGAGGCCAAGGUCGAGCUCAU